rnacentral:lncRNA from 1 species
CCAAGACUUCAGCCAACCCAUCUAUAAAACAUGGGAACAACACACCGCGGUCUUUGAAUUGGAAAAGAAUCUCAGCAAAAAAGGCGGGUAGAAACUAUUGGUGAAGAAUCACAAUCCACAGGCUCAAUCGACCGGCUUCCUGGAGUAAAGGCAAUGAGAAGGCAAGUCACAGGCUCAUCCUGAAUCAGAUUUUCGGGACAAAUGCGGCUAGGGCAUUUGCAUAAGCAGGGGAGAGGUUACUCAAAAGGGGCCGCAUCUAUUGGCCAUAGAAUGAAAUCAGUUGAGAAAAAACUCUUCCGAUUUGUGCUUUUACUUAGGAGUUUCAACUGGUGAUGCCACAACGUGAGCAAAUACAUUAACCAAAUCUGGGACUAGCAAAAGGAUCUGCUUGGAAAAUAGAAUGAAUCGGUAAGAAAACUUAUGGUCACCUCCAUAAAGAAAAUGGAUAAGAAAACAAGAAAAACAGAAAAGACCAAGUACGUUCACCUUCUAGGAUUACCCGAUACACAGGGAGCUUCCAUAGAGGGAUCCCACAUAGUUUGUAUGAUAUCCGUACACAUAUAUUAUAAAUGUGAAUGUGUGUGUGUGUGUGUAAAGCAUAGUUUGUAUGAUAUCCGUACACAUAUAUUAUAAAUGUGAAUGUGUGUGUGUGUGUGUGUGUGUGUAAAGCAGUGUGAGCUUUGAAGAUGAAAUCAAAGUUCAUAUCUAUAAGCACAAGAAUAUUCAACCUUCCCAAAUAAUCUACAUGGCCCAGAUUCAAUAUUUUGGUCCGGAAGUGGCAAUAAGUUGUUGGGAUCUAAUCCAUUGUCACUCGAACAUAAACCUGCAUGCUCAACCAUAUAUACCAAACACAUGCAGAAGAUGAUGCCAUGAUGGUGAAGGCCUUGAAGUUCACGCCCUUUGAUCAACACCCGUAUCGUUAUCGGAUAACUGCAUGUUUAAGGGUCGGUGAGGAGGGUUUCUGAAUUGGAUGAAUUAUUGGAGAGAAAUGGAGAGGUGUUGUGUCGGGUGGGGGUGGGUGGGUGAGGCAGAUGGGAAAAAAUAUUUGUAAUCUUUAAAUAUCAUUUGAUCCUCGCCCGGUGUGCUGAACAAGAUUCGUUCUUCUCCUGCCAAAUAGAGUGGGUCUGAGAAUAUAGUGGUCUCCCUAUUAUAAAAACUAGGGUUCUUUAGAUAUACGUCCAUGCAACACUUAUUUUCUUGACAAAAACCUAUUUGAUUUUAAACAUCCAAAUAAAACCCAAAUUUGAAGUAGACUGCCAUGUAAAGAAAUAAAUACUUAUUACUUUUAAACUAUUUACAAUUGUGCCAUAACACUCUAAUUAUGUUAAUGAAUUUAAUUAUCCACCAUAAUUGUGAAAAAUAAGUGCCUUAUUAUUAUAAAUAAAAUUAUCUACUUUAAACUUCUCUUAGACCAUCUCCAACCCUUGGGCUAAAAGCCAAAUUUUUUAGCCCGGAAAAUUUGGCUUUUAGCCCAGAAACAUCUUUUCUGCUCCAACCCUUCUGGCCUAAAAUUUUAGCCCGGAAUUAUUAAAGAAUGAACUUAGGCUAAUUUUUUUCUUAAAUCAAUAUUUUUUUUAAAAAUAAAUAUGUAGAUUAUUGUAAAUUAAUUUUAUGAACAUUUUAAUCUAAAAAAAUUUAAAUUCCGAUAAAUAUUGAAAAAUCAUUAAAUUUUUUACAAAGCAAACUACUUUCACCAACCUUUCAACUUUCACCAACCGUUCAUCUUUCACCAACCGUUCAACUCCAAACUUUCAACUUUCACCAACCAUUCAACACCAAACCUUCAACUUUCAACACCAAACUUUCAACUUUCACCAACCGUUCAACACAAAAUUUUCAACUUUCACCAACCGUUCAUCAAUCAUCCUCUAUAUAAACACAGGUCCAAUAUUAGUUGAUCACACAAUCUUUCAACCUUCAAUCAUCCUCUAUAUUCACCAAUCUUUCAACUUUCAAAGAGUUUUUUGUUUCCUAAAAAUUCUCAAUAUCUCAUCAAUGAGUGAUAGAAGAAGGCGUAGCAGGGCAAUGGAGAUGGCACAAUACCAAGCAAGGCUUGACAUUGAGGAUUUAGAACUGAUCAACGCCGAAGCUGAACUUGUAAACUCGUUUAUGCAAUAUGAGGACCAUGGCGAAUCUAGCCGUCAUGGUUCUCUCACGGGGCGUUCAUUCGUGCAGCGUGAUAGAGAAGAGUGUCAUGAGCAAAUGAUGAAAGAUUAUUUCAUUGAGCGGCCGAGAUUUCCUGCUCAUGAUUUUCGGAGGCGGUUUCGGAUGAGGAGAGAGCUUUUUGAAGGCAUCUUGAACGCAGUUGUCAAUCAUGACCACUACUUUGCAAGGAAGAUAGAUGUCGUAGGCCGACAAAGUCUAUCACCUCAUCAAAAGCUCACAUCUGCAUUUCGAAUGCUAGCUAAUGGGUGCUAUGCUGACUCAACUGACGAAUAUUGCCGACUUGCGGAGAGUACUGCUAUUGAGAACCUGAAGCGCUUUUGUCAAGCAAUUCAAGCCAUCUAUGGAGCCACAUACCUCCGCAAGCCAACUCGUGAAGACUUGAAAAGGCUUCUACGCAAGGCAGACAAAAGAGGCUUCCCUGGCAUGAUAGGAAGUCUCGAUUGUAUGCAUUGGGAGUGGAAGAAUUGUCCUACUGGUUGGGCUGGCCAAUUCAAGGGUCGUCAUAACAAGCCAACCAUCGUGCUGGAGGCUGUGGCAUCUUACGACACAUGGAUUUGGCAUGCAUUCUUCGGCUCACCCGGAUCAAACAACGAUAUCAACGUUCUUUGGUCUUCUCCUCUGUUCGAUGAGGUUGUGAAUGGAUGGGCACCAGAAUUUCGAUACAAGGUAAAUGGUAAUAUGUAUGAGCUAGGUUACUACCUAACUGAUGGUAUUUAUCCUAGUUGGUCUACCUUUGUCAAAAGUUUUUCUCAUCCCGAUAGUGCAAAGAAGAAAUUAUUUUCGCAGAGGCAAGAGUCUUACAGGAAAGAUGUGGAGAGAGCAUUCGGGAUCUUACAAGCUCGAUGGGCCAUUGUUAGAGGGCCUGCACGAUUUUGGCAACCCGAAGACCUCCAUUCAAUCAUGAUGACGUGCAUAAUUUUGCACAAUAUGAUUGUGGAAGAUGAGUACAUCGAAAUUGAAGAAGAUUCAGACGAAGAUGUGGAUGAUGACCAACCAACACAUGCGAGAGCUAUUGCAAGAGAUGUUGAAUAUCUCGCUCCAACCACAUAUGAGACCCGACAUGAUAGGGUCACCUUGGGGUGAGUAUAUGAGACGUUUAAAUAGAAUUCAAGCUCCUCAAAUUCAUGACACACUCCGCAAGGAUUUGGUUGAGCAUGUGUGGCGCCGAGAAGGUGAACGUUGAUGAUGUUGGUUGAGCAUUUAUGUAAUAAUUUUAAGUGUACUAUGUUGUUAUUUGUCUACUACGUUGAAUAAUUUAUUGAAUGGAGGUUGAAUUAUUGAAUGGAGGUUGAAUUAUUGAAUGGAGGUUGAAAUAAUAAGUACAAUAAUUAUUGAAGACAUUUAGAUUAAAUAGAAACAAUAAUAAUAAGACAUAAACUUAAUAAAGUACAUAAACCACAUAAUAAACAACAUAAACUUAAUACAAACGACAAUUAAUAAACUUAAUUAAUAAAGCACAUAAUUCAUACACUACAUAAACUUAACAAUCAUAUCCACCAUCUUCACUUGGUGAUGGACUUCGUUGAAAUGUUGGGAUAUAGGGUUCAGAGGAUUCAUCAUCUUGAAACAUACGCCUUGAGGCAGACUUUCGCAUAAUUUCCUUUUGCUUAUUACGUAAGAACUGCUUCCUCUCUGGAGUGUAUUUGCUGAGGUCCUUCAUCAUGAAUUCAAUUUCAAACCUAUUUUCCUCCCUAUCCGAGAUUUCCUUCAUUUGCAAACGCAAUCGGGCCGCUUCUUCUUGGCGAGCGCUAUGAGUUUCAUGCAAUUUUGCAAUUCCGAUAGCAAAGUCUCCACUCGGGGAAUCUUGGGACUUCCCUUUUCUCUUUGCUUCCUUUUGCUUAUCUCUUCCCGAGGGCCUUGCUAAAGAAGGAGAUGGGGUCAUUUCAUCGACACCUUCAUCGCCACCUUCAUUCAUUCUUGGUGCGGCUUCACGUUGAAAUAAUCUUCCCCAUUGUUGGUCUGCAUCGGUUGCCCACCUUGGACAAUCCUUGAGGACGUCCCAAGCAUGUUGCAACUUAAAAACUUGAUUUUUUGGUGUUACUCUUGUCUUGUAAAUUUCCAUUGCUUUGUCACCCUAUGCAAAAAAUACAUAAAAAUAAUUAGUUGCAAAAUAAUAUUAUGUACAUGACAAAUAAAUAUAUCAAGAAAAAAACUCACAAUUUCUAUGGCGCUCCUUCCACUAGGCAUGCCAACCAUGGCUCUCUCUAAGCUUCCCUUCCAUAAAGUGCAUGCUUUGUUGAUAGUCUUCCACCGAUCAUAAACACCACCACCGUCUCGCCCGCUGCCGUUGCAGUUUUCUUGAAACUUUGCAAUGAUUUUAUCCCACAAAACCUUUUUAUUUUGAUUUGUGCCAACUGCACCAUCUUCACUAACAGACACCCAUGCCAAGCAUAAAGAAACAUCUUCCUCAAAGGUCCAAUUACGACCUCUAACAUGCUCUCUUUGCCAUGUUGAACAAUUUGGAAAUGGAAAGAAAUGAUAGAAAGAUAAAUUGGAAGAAUUGUAGGAGAAAAUUGAAUUUUGUGUGGAUGUUUGAACAAAUAGAUAGGUAUUUAUAGAUUUUUUGGGUAAAUUUUGUGUUAAAUAAAUUUAUUUAAUUAUUUUAGCCGUUGGAUUUAAAUUUGGGCCGUUAGAUCUUUUUUUUACCGUUAGAUUUGAGUAUAUUCAAUCUCAACCGUUAGAUUCAAUGUAUUUUAAAAUAAUAUAUUUUUUAAAAAUAAAGUUUGAAUCUGGACCGUUGGAUCAACCAACGGUCCUUAAAUCCUGCCCGUUUGAUUUCGAAAAGAGCCGUUGGGGCUCUGAAGAGUGGCCGACAAGGCCUGACGGUGGGACCCCCUCUUGUCGGGCUCCGGUUGCAAGCUGUGGGCGUGGGGCGCGUGUGCGAGUCCACGGGCCGAGAGUGGCCCAAAACUGGGCGAGUCCACGCGGCUGGGGGGGGAAUUUGGGGGGGAAUUUGGCCCAAUUUUAGCAUUCCCCUUUUAGCCCAAUAUUUUAGCUUGGGUUGGGGGGUGUUUGGGGGGAAUUUUGGGCUAAAUAUUUGGCAUUUAGCCCAGGGUUGGAGUAGGUCUUACCAUCAUAUAUUUCAUUUCUUUUAUUUGUUUGACAAUCAUUGUGACAUCCCACAUCACCAGGGGAGUGAUCCUUAAAUGUAUAUUCCCAUCCAUACCUAGCACGAGGCUUUUUGGGAGCUCACUGGCUUCGGGUUCCAUCGGAACUCCUAAGUUAAGCGAGUAGCGCGCGAGAGCAAUCCUAUGAUGGGUGACCCACUGGGAAGUUCUCGUGUGAGUUCCCAGAAACAAAACCGUGAGGGCGUAGUCGGGGCCCAAAGCGGACAAUAUCGUGCUAUGGUGGUGGAGCGGGCCCGGGAUGUGACAAUCAUUGUAGGUAAAUUAUUUUGCAUGUAUGUAUUAGGCACAUUUUGUUAAAAUGAUAUAUAUGUGUACAAAUAAUUUAUCUAUAUUUUUAUGUAAAAUAAUAUGUAAUUAAUUAAUUUGAAUCAAUUGGCAAAAAAACAUUUAUUUAUUUUGUAGGUAAAUUAUUUUUCAUGUGAUAUUACAUAUGUACUAGCUACAUUUUGUUAUUAUUAUAUAGAGUGUGUAUCAGAGCCUAACCCUGACUGUGGUGUGCCAACGAGGACGUCGGGCCCAUAAGGGGGGUGGAUUGUAACAUCCCACAUCGCCUAGGGAGUGAUCCUUAUAUGUAUAUUCCCAUCUCUACCUAGCACGAGGCCUUUUGGGAGCUCACUAGCUUCGGGUUCUAUCGGAACUUUGAAGUUAAGCGAGUAGCGCACGAGAGCACUCCCAUGAUGGGUGACCCACUGGGAAGUUCUUGUGUAAGUUCCCAGAAACAAAACCGUGAGGGCGUGGUUGGGGCCCAAAGCGGACAAUAUCGUGUUACAGUGGAGUCGAGCCCGGGAUGUGGUGAGGGCCCCGGGCCGGGAUGUGACAGUGUGCAAUCAAUCGACAUUCUUUUAUUUUGUAGGUAAAUUAUUUUGCAUGUAGGUAAAUUGUUUUAUAUAUUUUUUUGCAAAAUAUUGGUAUUUAAUUAAUUUUGAAUAAAAAAUAUUUAUUUAUUUUGUAGGUAAAUUAUUUACAUAUAUCAUUACAUAAUUUACUAGGAACUUAUAUUGUUAUAUAUGUUGUGCAAAAUAAUUUACCUAUGUUACAUUUAAAAUAUUGAUAAUUUUGAAUAAAUUAACUUUUUUUAUAUUUGUAGGAUAUACUAAUUUACUUGUUAGCAUCAUGUGAAAACAACUAUACAAGGAACAUUAGUAUCAUGCAAAUAUUUGGACAUUUAAAUGAAUGAAAUAAUGUAAAAUAAAUGGAGAUAAUAAGUGAGAGAGGCCCAAAGUAAGUGUUAUUAGGGGUAAUUUAGACAUCCAAAAAUACAAAUUUUGCCAAGUCAAACUUAAUUAUGUAUAUUGCUUAGUUGGAGCCUAGUCAUUGGGUUUUUGUUAGAGAAAUUUAUCAUGGUGGGUUUUAAUUAAAGAAAAUUGAAUUUCAAGGGGUGUACUCAUAUUUUCAGUAAAAACUACACGGUUCAUAUAAAAAUUCAAAGCCCCCCAGAUUCCCAUAUAUUGGCUCCGCCACGCACGCCAUUUUGGGCUCUAAAAGCAGUGUACGUAUAGUGCUGAAUAAAACAACACGCAGAUGAUGGUGAUCGAUGAACCAACACCCUUACCGUUAUCUGAUAAUUAAUUGCAUGUUUUCACAGUGGGUACUAUUCAUCAUUUUUUUUAUAGUAGGGUUGGUGAGGGUUUUUGAAUUGGAUGAAUUAUUGGAGAGAAAUAGACGGGUUAUGUCAAUAGGCGUGCAACACGAGAAAAAAGAUUUACAUGUUUUACUCUACGUACAGAUAUAAUUUGGAUUGGUUGAGAGUAACAUACAGUUUGCCGUUCAACAUAUAUAUAUAUAUAUAUAUAUAUAUAUAUAUAUAUAUAUAUAUAUAUCAUUAAGAGUAGAGCCUCAAAACCUAUCAGUUAGCUAGCUGGUGAGAAGAAAAAGAUAGCUUCCAGGACCCAAACAGCGGCCAAAAUUCCAGUAGUAGAUUUCUCCCAAGAGGAUUGCUGGAAGUCAGGGACAAGUUCUUGGCUCUCAGUACGCAGAGACGUUUGUAAUGCUCUCGAAGAGUUUGCCUGUUUCCUGGCAGUCCUUCCCAACAAAGUUUCCCGGGAGCUUAAUGACACCAUGUUUGGGACAUUCAACGAGUUGUUUGAUUUCCCCGACGAAAUUAAAGCACAAUUUCCUCAGGAUAAACCUCUAGUUGAGGGUUACGUAAGGCUGCCUACCCGUGAAUCCAUGUCAUUUCGUUCAAGCACUGAAAAAAUAAAGAACGUCACACGUCAACUUUGGCCGGAAGGAAAUGACCAGUUUCGGUAUAAAUUACUGCACAUUUCAAUAGUUAUAGCAGUUUUUUCUACAUCUAGAUACUUACUGAUAUAUGUUUUGUUAUCAACACUUUUGAUUUCUUUAUCAAUAAGCUAAUGCGAAUCUGUCCUUAAACAGUUAUACUUGUUCUUCCUAAUAAUAAUAAUUUGUUCUUUAUAUCUUGGGCAAUGAUAGUGUUGAUCUGUAUUCAAAAGUGAUGACAGAAUUAAAUCAAGUUGUGACGAAAAUGGUAUUUGAAAACUACAAGGUAGAGAAAUACCACGAUGAUCACAUUCAAUCGACCAUGCCCAUUACCCUACUUAUAAAAUAUGAUGAACCCAAGACAGAUGAAACUGAAACUGUUAUACACAAUCAUACAGACAAGUGUUUUACUACCAUACUCCAUCAAGAAUCGUAUGGUGUUGAGAUAAGCACAAAAGAUAACGAGUGGAUUGGUUAUGAUCCUCUGCCUUCAUCAUUAUUAUUCCUAGCAGGUGAUGGACUUCAGGUGCGUCAACACCCUUUCAUUAAUCUUGCUUUAGUUUCAUGAAUUUUAGCUCUCUCUCUUCAUGGAUAUGUCGUUCGGGCAUCCGUUUUGUAGAGCUCAGUUCUCAAUGUGUUUCAACAAUUUAACCAUCUAUCAUUAAGGCCUUCUCUCAAAUAUAACUUCUAAAAAAUUACCCAAAUCCAAAAUCAUAUGAUCGUUGGAUUAAAUGAUAGUCAUUUUAGUGUUUCUUUGAAGAACUAUAUUCGUCUUUUUUCUUGACUACAAUUGGAUCUCUUAAUUGUUUUAGAUUUGCCUAGUUUUUUUUUUUUUUUUUUACUUUUUUGGAAAGGAGAAUCUAUGAAUAAUGAAUUAAAAUAUAAAAGAUUCGGAUUGUUAAACAAAAGUUAUGAAAUGGUCAUCACAAGAUGUCAAUCAAAUAAGCUUUAUUUGAGGGAUAACAGAAGUUUAUAUAUAACCUAAUAACUAUUACAUGACGGAAGUUAGCAAUGUAUGUGCCAAAUUAGCAAAACAAUAAGCGGUUAUGUGGCUUCUCUAAAAAUGUGAUUAAUCAUUGAUGUAUAUUCAAACUGACCUAAUAAUAGAUUAACUUAAACCAAUUUUAACUUGCAAGCGCACGACUCAAUAGUAGCUAGUAGUAGUAUAGAUAUGCAAGUACGAGGUCAAUUUUGCAGGAAUUGCGUUAAAACCAUUUAAACCAAUAAUUACGCCAAACUUAAUUAUACAAACGAAUUGAAUUUAAGGAUUGAUUAAAACUAAAAUUAACAAGAGAAACUAAAAGAUAAACUAAACCAAGACAAUGAUGAAUUUUGAAAAUUAAGAUAUGAAGGCAAUGCGACAUCAAAUCCACCACUAGUAAUCCAACCUAGCUUCUAUAUUACCUAUCCGUUGAUAAAUUCAAUUGAUGUUGUUGAAUAGUUUUCCUUGCGCAUAAACUACCAAUAUGGUAUUUAGGCUCACCCGUAUAUCUCUACAUGCAACUUGUCUAUGGCAUUUAGUACAAUUAUGAACGUACAAAAGCUCAUUACGUUUUGUGAAAAUCUUGAAAACCAUGCAAACACUAGGAAUACGGUGUUUACCCUAAAAUAAUUACAACCCUUAACCACAAGAAGCAAGUCUCAAAUUAGCUAUAGUAUUUAGUCUAAUUUACAUCAAGUAACUCAAUUAAGAAUCUUGAUGGUAGCUAAGAGUCAAGAUAAUAAGCACGGUGAUUAAGAAGCCCAUAUUAAAGGGCAAUCGUAAGAGUCAAGAUAGUAACUCAAUGUCUUCUGCUUCCUUCAAGGUCAAGUGAUGCAGACAAAAGUUUCCUUGCAACAAAGCCACACGAUGCCCGCUGUGCUUCACCUUUUCAUACCCAAUCCUAAAACCACAUAAAAGUUCAAUGAAAUAAAUAUAUAAAUACAUAAGUAGCCUUUUGUAAGUAUAACUUAAAUAAAGCCAUAUAUGAACUUACGGAAUGUUUUCAACUACAAAUCUGCCAAAAUUUGAUCCCUCGAGUCUUUUGUGAUAGAUAAAAAACAAUGUCUUCUCGCGAGCCUCCAACAUGUUGAAAAAGUCGAGACAUGUUCUAAUGAAACCAAAAGGACCUUCCCGCUCAACAGUUCCAUCUGUAGUGACACUGCAUACUGAAAAAAAACAAUAACAAUUUUUGAAUAUCAAAUACGUUACACUUACAAUGAAAUAAAAAUAUAAUUUUAUCGGAUCCUGUCUACCUCUAAACGGCGCACCGCAAUAAGAAUCCUUCAAAGAAGCUUGAAACAUUGCAAAACGGGUGAGAAAUCUUGCUUUUCUCAAACCAAUGCCCAAUUUUUUUUUAAUUUUUACAAGUUUGUAGUCUUCGGCAUCAUCUUGUUCCUCUUUCUUGGCAUCCUUAAAAAAGACAAACAAAUCGUCGUGUGCAUGUUCUCCACCAGAUCCAUCAUUAAAAGCACCACCAUAGACCAACUUUCGAGAUCCGCGUUUAAUGUAAUCUAUUGGACAUUUGCACUCGUCAACUCCUUUACAAUUUCGUUUAUGCCUCGCUACUUGAGGGUUGUAAUAGAAAAUAUAUCCUGAUGGAACUUGGUCCUCCAUAUAACAAACGUAAACUGCAAAUGCAUUCCUACCAUCAUGUUUAUUUAAAAACGCCUCUCCACGUUUAACAAGGAAUUCAAUUGAUUUACCAAGUUUCGCCUUAGACUUUAAAGCCUGCAAGAAGCGAUUCGCUGCUUCAUAUUCGCCACACCAUACGCCAAAAGUCGGUGGAUGCUCUCUAAUUGUUUGCAGUUUAAGUUUAUCAGCUCCAACUGAAAAAACAAAAAGUUCACAUAAAUACAACUACAAUCAAACCUUGUCUCACUAAGUAAGGUCGGUUGAAAAGUUCACAUGUUUAGUGUAUAUAAUAUCGCUUGUUAAAAAAAAAGAUAGACAGAUAGAGUAUUACUUCUGCCUUCUUCCGUGGUUAUCCUUGAAUCCGACCCCAACACCAAGCCAAGCUCCAAAAGCAUAGCUGAAGUAACGGUUCCCGAUCCUCUCUCCUUAGCUUUGAUUGGAUUUCUGUCAAUCCUUUUAAGCACUGUGUUAUUUUCGUUCUCGAGCGUAAGCCUGAAGAAGUCAUCCACUGUAAUUAAGCUGUCAUCAUCAGGCAAAACAUGAAAAUUGUCCUUAUCUUCAAAGCAGCUCACAGAAUCCUCAGCAAAGUGUCCAUAUACUCCCAGUACGUGCUCACUCGGUAAUUGUUUGCUUGAAUUCAUAUUUGCUAACUAAACAGAACAAUAUAAUAUAUAUAUAUACGCGCACACACAUACAUACAUACAUAUAUAUAUAUAUAUAUGUAUAUAUAUGUAUCGAAAGAUUUAGCCAGCCAACCUACCACAUUCAGAAAAUUUCAGAAUUCUCACAAACUCGAUAAUUAUAACUUCAAUUCAACUCUUCAUACUUUAUUCUUCUUCUUGUAAAAGGUAUUUAUAGAGAACAAUAAUUAAGUAAACCUAAUUAAAUAAGUAAACCAUCUAAUUUCUGGAAGACAAGGAAAGUCUUAAUAAAAGAAGAUAAAAAAUAAAAUCUCUUACUUUAAACUUUCCCUUUCUCUAUAUUCUCCAACAUUCUGUAAAAAAAAUCACAAAAACAACGCUGAUCUAUGCUCAUUCUCUGUUCCCUUCCCAUAUUUUAUGAGAGAAAACUUAACUAUUUUACGCAUAUUUCUUUAUCAUUAGUGAAACUUGAAGACCUUCUUGAUGUUGCUCUUUUAGAGAACUUAUAGAAACAAUAUUAUUAAGAACAAAGGGUAGAGUUUAAAAUUAUUACAUUAACUUAAGGGAGGGGGAGUUUCAAACCCGAUAAGCAUGAGUAGAAACAACACCUUAUAUACUAGCAUAUUUGACCGCAUGCAUGGAAACAAUCCAGAUGGGAUUCUUUAAUAUUUUUUAUAGUGCAUUUUUGCUUCCACCCCCCCUCUAAAGUGAGGGCAAUGCUCAACUCCUUAUUUUAAAUUUUGAGAUUCGUGUUUUAGAUCAAUUAAAUCAAACUAAUGUAACGGUAACCAAUAAGAAGGUGAGCAUUAGCCCACUUUUGAGAAGAAAUUUUUCCAUGUGACUAGAACACGCACCUUAGCAUGAUAGGUGAUGUUCCCAACUAAUAACCUAUUGAUAUCUGUAUUCUUGGCAUAACAAUACUCUUUGUACAAUUAACCCAAAAAAAACAAUUAAAAUCAAUGGCCGACUUCCAAACCUCCCCAAUUGGCCGACUCCCUUCCGGAGACCUGCACAGUCCACCCCCCCACUCCCAUGCAUCCCCCCCUUCCCCACACGUCUCUCUCCCUUUCUCUUUCGUUUUCAAUAUUUCUUCCUUUUUUGUGUGCUCCUCCUGAGAAGGACACAAAGAGCGCCAGAAAAUUCAUCAGAUCAUAAAUUGGAGGUCAGAGACGACAAAUCUGGGUCGAUGGAGGUGGGUGGUUUCUCAUAGGGUGGAAGAAAGCGAGAGAGAAGAGGAGAAACAAAAAGAGGAAGAAAGUUUUUGCCGAUGGAAUCACAGGGCGGCGAUGGGGGUGAGUGAUUUCUGAUAGGGUGGGUGGUCGGCGGGGAAGGAGGAAGUCGAAGAGUUUUCUGACGUCUUUCUCUUUCAACUAUUAUGUUAGGGGGUAUAUUAGGAAUUUUGUUGACCAAUAUCAUAAAUAGCAAAACAUGGGAAAUUUUUUAUUUGCAACAAUAACAUUGACACAUGGUAAUGUUUUAUUGGUUGGGUACUCCACGUAAGCUAAUGUGCCGGUCACCUAGAAAUAAACUUCACUUUUGAGGAGUGAGGUGAGCAAAUAUGCACUCGUAUUUUUUGUUGAUUUGUCAUUCUUGGUCAAAAGAACUAAUGAUAGAAAAUAAUCCCAAGAUUUGAUGAACAAAAAUAGGAACGAAAUGUUAUUUAACUAUUAUUAAAUUAUUUACAUAAGUACAUAAUUAAAUUACUUAGCCAUUGUUAAGCCACCAACACAUGGAACGCUAUAAGAUGGCCCGUAACACUCACCACGUAGUAAGGGUAGUGAACAAAUUUGAACUCAAAUACAUAAACCGGAAAAUAUACGUUCAAUCAUUUGCUUUCUUACUCUUUUCUACUAAAAAAUUAUUGGUUACCAGUUCUUUCCUUAUUUGAUCAAUUUCAAUGGUCUCGUAAUAGUCCUUCCUUGAAUCCUUGUAGAUCACAAAACAAGACUAGUCAUACAUGAACGUGUUCUUACCGGUAAGAACAAGUUCAACAGUAAAGCUGAAAAUUUACACAUGUUUUUACCGGUAAGAACACGUUCAUUAAUAGAGCUAAAACUUUACAAGUGUUCUUACCCGGUAAUAAUGUUUGUAAAUUUUCACUCAAUUAGUAAACAUGUUCUUACCGGUAAGAACCAUUCAUAUAUAAUUCCUAGAUCCUUUUUUUCUAAAUGCAUUUUGCCAACAUUUUGCCUACUAUUUCGGAAUAAUUUAGAAGCGACUAGUAUCGGGGCUAAUAUCGAUGUGUAUAUUUGUUGUAUAGACAAACAUUAUAUUUAAAUUUUCACCUUCAAUAUUUACCAUAGAUAUUUUCCUAUUAAGUAUGGAGGCUUUUACCAUUUGGGGAAGCUUUGCAACUUAUUGUUGCCCAGUCAAACAAACAAGACGAAAGGUUCGUUGCAUGGAACUUACAUACUCCCACCAGAAGAACGCGUACCCCAAGCAACCAUUGCCAGAACCUCAUAUAUCCAGUCCCAAGUUAAAGCAAGAUAUCUGGACAACCAAGAUCGAGUCCAAUUUGCAACAGAAUUCCAAAAAUAACCACCAACGUUUUUGGUUGAUGAUUAGUUUCAUUCAGAAUCACUCGCAACAAUUAUCAUUUAAGGGGGUGUAGUCAAUUAGGAUUUCAGAGAAUUUUAAUAGAUUUUUUGAAGUGACUUAUUUUAAAGGAUUUUAAUAGACUCUACAAUUCUACAUGGAUUUUGACAGAUUUAUGAAUUUCAAUUAUAGAUUUCUAUGAAUUUGUAUGAACUUCUCUUGUGAAUUUCUUAGGAUUUCUAAACAUCACCAAACCAAUAUGAACAUGAUACCCAAUCAUUUAUCUUUGUUUAUUUUCCGACCCAACUUGUAAACUUCACCAAACAACAACAACAACAACAACAACAAAGCCUUUUCCCACUAAGUGGGGUCGGCUAUAUGAAUCCUAGAACGCCAUUGCGCUCGGGUUUGUGUCAUGUCCUCCGUUAGAUCCAAGUACUCUAAGUCUUUUCUUAGAGUCUCUUCCAAAGUUUUCCUAGGUCUUCCUCUACCCCUUCAACCCUGAACCUCUGUCUCGUAGUCACAUCUUCGAACCGGAGCGUCAGUCGGCCUUCUUUGCACAUGUCCAAAUCACCGGAGCCGAUUUUCUCUCAUCUUUCCUACAAUUUCGGCUACUCCUACUUUACCUCGGAUAUCCUCAUUCCCAAUCUUAUCCUUUCUCGUGUGCCCACACAUCCCACAAAGCAUCCUCAUCUCCGCUACACCCAUUAUGUGUACGUGUUGAUGCUUCACCGCCCAACAUUCUGUGCCAUACAACAUCGCUGGCCUUAUUGCCGUCCUAUAAAAUUUUCCCUUGAGCUUCAGUGGCCUACGACGGUCACACAACACGCCGGAUGCACUCUUACACUUCAUCCAUCCAGCUCGUAUUCUAUGGUUGAGAUCUCCAUCUAAUUCUCCGUUCUCUUGCAAGAUAGAUCCUAGGUAGCGAAAACGGUCGCUUUUUGUGAUCUUCGCUAGAUUGCUCCGGUCAUUAGUGUAGAUAAGUAUAUAAAUGGAUAGAGAUAGGAAAGCAAACACAAGAUGUACGUGGUUCACCCAGAUUGGCUACGUCCACGGAAUAGAAGAGUUCUCAUUAAUUGUGAAGGGUUUACACAAGUACAUAGGUUCAAGCUCUCAUUCAGUGAGUACAAGUGAAUGAUUUAGUACAAAUGACAUUAGGAAAUAUUGUGGGAGAAUGAUCUCGUAAUCACGAAACUUCUAAGUAUCGGAGUGUGGUGUCGUCUUGACUUGCCUUAUCUGUCUCAUAGGUAGAUGUGGCAUCUUCUCUGGAAGUACUCUUCCUCCAUCCAGGGGUGGUAUCUUUAACUGGUGGAGAUGCACAAGGUAAUGUAUCAAUUUCACUUGAAGCUUACUUGUAGUUUCAAGCUUGGUCAAGCGCGAUACAAACCAUGUAGUAGGAGUCCCCCAAGUCGCCGAGCUAGGGGGUCUGCUGAAAGAGGUGACAGACAAGGUAAGCAAUCAGAGCUCCGACUGAUUGUUCACCUUCUCCCCAUCUUGCAGCAGCAUGAAGGAUAAAGAGAAGAAAAAUGAGAAGAGAUGAUAUGAGAUACUUUUGCUUUUGAAGAAGUAACUUUCCACAGGCUUAUUCUUGAACUGAGCUGGAGGGUUUUCUGGUUUCCUCCAGAGUAUAAGGCCGACUGAAGAAUUUGAGGGUCAAAACAAGUCCAUCAAAUCUAGAGUACGUUCCACCCUGCUGAUAUGGGAUACUUUUGCUUUUGACAGAGUAAUGGAUGUAUCGGCACGUGUGCUGUUACGCUUGUCUCCACAUGCUUCCUUGUAUCCUUCGCACUUGCCCUAUCUGUUCCUCAAGCAGAUGCGGAAUCUUCCCUGGAAACAUAAGAUGUUGAAGAUGAGUACUCGAGAGCAAUGCCAGGUAAGUAAUCAGGUAAGGGGUUGAUUCCAAGUGCUGACUGAUUGCUCUCUUUCUCCUUGUCUUGCAGGUAAAAACAAGGCCAAAGGAAAAGACAGGGAAAAAACAUGAUAUGGGAUACUCUUGCUUUUAACCCUGAUGAUAUGAGAUAUUCUUGCUCUAGUAUAGCUUGUUUGUAGAGGUAUUAUCGGGGGGAAAGAAAGCUGAAUAUUUCGAAAGGCUUCGUUGGGAGUGCCCUCUCAGAUAUGAUGAAGGGUUGAGCAUUUUUGCAGGUCUGCCUGUCCGUUGGGGAUGGAGGUCGACAUAUAUAGGAGUCUCCCUAACAACAAGUAGUAAUGCUAUUCAUUUACCCUGCUUGGUCAUAGCACGGUAGUGGGAGCUGCCAGUUUCACAUGAUUUAACUCUGUCAGAGCACUUUGAAAAAGUGGUCUGUGGUAUCUGGCUCUCGAGAUUCGGAGAACGAUGCCUCUUCGAUUUUUGAGAAAGCAAUCAUGCUGGGGGUCUGGCUCUCGAGAUUCGGAGAGCAGUGUCUCUUCGAUUUUUGAGGAAGUAAUCAUGUUGGGAGUCUGGCUCUCGAGAUUCGGAGGGCGGUGCCUCUUCGAUUUUGGAGCAAGCAAUCCUGUUGGGAGUGUUGUCUCGAAUGUGAGUAAAGGUUGGGCAUGUUUGCUAGUCUACCUUGCCCCGAAGCACAAAGGUUGACACACAGGGACUUUCCAAUUAUCUAGCAAUGGUACUGUUCCUUUACCCUCUCUUCGCUUUUGAGAAAGUAGUCAUGUUGGGAGUCUGGCUCUCGAGAUUCGGAGGACGGUGCCUCUUCGAUUUUGGAGCAAGCAAUCUUGUUGGGAGUGUUUUCUCGAAUGUGAGUAAAGGUUGGGCAUGUUUGCUAGUCUACCUUGCCACGAAGCACAGAGGUUGACACACAGGAACUUUCCAAUUAUCCAGCAAUGGUACUGUUCCUUUACCCUUGUGGGUAAUAAUAUGGUAGCUAGACCUUCAAAAUUUAUGUGUCUAAACUUUGUUAGUGCUGUUUCUUUGCUAUUCUUUUACCUUUCUUGGUCAGAGCGAUGUAGUGGGAGCUGCAAGCUUCACGUGCUCAACUUUGGCAGAGAACUUUGGCAAAGUUAUCUGUGGUACCCAUGAGCUAUUGUUGCGUGUGGGAAGUGGGUGAUUGAACAGUAAGAUUCAUGUGCUUUCUACUUCACCAGAAGUCUUCGACAGAAUGCCCAUAAUUUCCGCAAAGCUGAGUGUGCGUGUGACAGGUGCUGACAAGGCUAGAAUAGUAGGUGCCUCUUCGAUUUCUGAGAUCGGCCCUCGUGGUCUCUGAGCAGCCCAGCUUUUGAGAAAGCGAGCGCCUCUUCGAUUGAUUCGGAGAACGAUGCCUCAUCGAUUUUUGAGAAAGCAAUCAUGCUGGGGGUCUGGCUCUCGAAGAUUCGGGGAGCAGUGUCUCUUCGAUUUUUGAGAAAGUAAUCAUGUUGGGAGUCUGGCUCUCGAGAUUCGGAGGACGGUGCCUUUUCGAUUUUGGAGCAAGCAAUCUUGUUGGGAGUGUUUUCUCGAAUGUGAGUAAAGGUUGGGCAUGUUUGCUAAUCUACCUUGCCACGAAGCACAGAGGUUGACACACAGGGACUUUCCAAUUAUCCAGCAAUGGUACUGUUCCUUUACCCUCUUCGAUUUUUAAGAAAGUAGUCAUGUUGGGAGUCUGGCUCUCGAGAUUCGGAGGACGGUGCCUCUUCGAUUUUGGAGCAAGCAAUCUUGUUGGGAGUGUUUUCUCGAAUGUGAGUAAAGGUUGGGCAUGUUUGCUAAUCUACCUUGCCACGAAGCACAGAGGUUGACACACAGGGACUUUCCAAUUAUCCAGCAAUGGUACUGUUCCUUUACCCUCUUCGAUUUUUAAGAAAGUAGUCAUGUUGGGAGUCUGGCUCUCGAGAUUCGGAUGACGGUGCCUCUUCGAUUUUGGAGCAAGCAAUCUUAUUGGGAGUGUUUUCUCGAAUGUGAGUAAAGGUUGGGCAUGUUUGCUAGUCUACCUUGCCACGAAGCACAGAGGUUGACACAUUUCAAAUUAUCCAGCAGUGGUACUGUUCCUUUACCCUUGUGGGUAAUAAUAUGGUAGCUAGACCUUCAAAAUUUAUGGGUCUAAACUUUGUUAGUGCUGUUUCUUUGCUAUUCUUUUACCCUUCUUGGUCAGAGCGAUGUAGUGGGAGCUGCAAGCUUCACGUGCUCAACUUUGGCAGAGAACUUUGGCAAAGUUAUCUGUGGUACCCAUGACCUAUUGUUGCGUGUGGGAAGUGGGUGAUUGAACAGUAAGAUUCAUGUGUUUUCUACUUCCCCAGAAGUCUUCGACAGAAUGCCCAUAAUUUCCGCAAAGCUGAGUGUACGUGUGACAGGUGCUGACAAGGCUGGAAAAGUAGGUGCCUCUUCGAUUUCUGAGAUCGGCCCUCGUGGUCUCUAGGGAGCCCAGCUUUUGAGAAAGCGAGCGCCUCUUCGAUUUCUGAGAUCGGCCUUCGUGGUCUUUGAGCAGCCCAACUUUUGAGAAAGCAAACGCCUCUUCGAUUUCUGAGAUCAACCCUCGUGAUCUCUAAGCAGCCCAGCUUUUGAGAAAGAAAACGCCUCUUCGAUUUCUGAGCAGGCGCCUCUUCGAUUUCUGAAGCUCCGUCGAGUGCAGAUUUUUAUAGGGGCUGGCAUUAAGUUCCAAAGCACACUUGAAUCUCCACCAGUAGAAGCUUCAUUCUUGCACUUCUAAGAUCUUAAUUUGUCCGACCUCUUCUCUCUUCAACAUCUUUGAAAAUGUCUGGCCCCUCCGACCGUCGUUUUGACUUGAACCUUGUUGAAGAGGCAGCCCCGCCUUCUCCAGACAACAUAUGGCGCCUAUCCUUCGUCUCCCCUACUGGUCCUCUUACCGUUGGAGAUUCCGUGAUGAAGAAUGAUAUGACCGCUGCGGUGGUGGCCAGGAACCUUCUCACUCCCAAAGAUAACAGACUACUUUCCAAACGGUCUGAUGAGUUAGCUGUUAAGGAUUCGCUGGCUCUCAGUGUUCAGUGUGCAGGUUCUGUGUCUAAUAUGGCCCAACGCCUAUUUGCUCGAACCCGCCAAGUUGAAUCAUUGGCGGCUGAAGUGAUGAGUCUGAAACAGGAGAUUAGAGGGCUCAAGCAUGAGAAUAAACAGUUGCACCGGCUCGCACAUGACUAUGCUACAAACAUGAAGAGGAAGCUUGACCAGAUGAAGGAAACUGAUGGUCAGGUUUUACUUGAUCAUCAGAGAUUUGUGGGUUUGUUCCAAAGGCAUUUAUUGCCUUCGUCUUCUGGGGCUGUACCGCGUAAUGAAGCUCCGAAAUGAUCAACCUCUGAUGCCUCCUCCUUCUAGGGUUCUGUCCAGUACUGAGGCUCCAAAUGAUCCCCCUCCGGUGCCUUCUCUUUCUGGGGCUCUACCGACUGCUGAGACUUCUCCUAAGCAACCUUUGUGAAGGCUCCCUCUUGUGUGUUUAUUUUGACUCAUGUAUAUGUACAUAUUUGUAGCUUUAUCGAGGAUAUCAAUAAAUAAGCUUUCCUUCAUUUCAACGUAUUGUGUUAAAUACACCAAAGCCUUCUUCGCUAAGUUCUUUGAAUUUUCUUUUGUUGAAGCUUGUAUGUUGAAGCUUUCUGAGUGGAGCAUGUAGGUUGGGGUAGUGUUCCCUUAAUUUCCCGAGUGAGGAAAACUUCUCGGUUGGAGACUUGGAAAAUCCAAGUCACUGAGUGGGAUCGGCUAUAUGAAUCUUAGAACGCCAUUGUGCUCGAUCCUGAGUCAUGUCAUUCGUUAGAUCCAAGUACUCUAAGUCUUUUCUUAGAGUCUCUUCCAAAGUUUUCCUAGGUCUUCCUCUACCCCUUCGGCCCUGAACCUCUGUCCCAUAGUCGCAUCUUCUAAUCGGAGCGUCAGUAGGCCUUCUUUGCACAUGUCCAAACCACCGUAACCGAUUUUCUCUCAUCUUUCCUUCAAUUUCGGCUACUCCUACUUUACCCCGGAUAUCCUCAUUCCUAAUCUUAUCCUUUCUCGUGUGCCCACACAUCCAACGAAGCAUCCUCAUCUCCGCUACACCCAUUUUGUGUACGUGUUGAUGUUUCACCGCCCAACAUUCUGUGCCAUACAGCAUCGCCGGCCUUAUUGCCGUCCUAUAAAAUUUUCCCUUGAGCUUCAGUGGCAUACGGCGGUCACACAAACACGCCGGAUGCACUCUUCCACUUCAUCCAUCCAGCUUGUAUUCUGUGGUUGAGAUCUCCAUCUAAUUCUCCGUUCUUUUGCAAGAUAGAUCCUAGGUAACGAAAACGGUCGCUCUUUGAUAUUUCUUGAUCUCCGAUCCUCACCCCUAACUCGUUUUGGCCUCCAUUUGCACUGAACUUGCACUCCAUAUAUUCUGUCUUUGAUCGACUUAGGCGAAGACCUUUAGAUUCCAACACUUCUCUCCAAAGGUUAAGCUUUGCAUUUACCCCUUCCUGAGUUUCAUCUAUCAACACUAUAUCGUCUGCGAAAAGCAUACACCAAGGAAUAUCAUCUUGAAUAUGUCCUGUUAACUCAUCCAUUACCAACGCAAAAAGGUAAGGACUUAAGGAUAAGCCUUGAUGUAAUCCUACAGUUAUGGGAAAGCUUUCGGUUUGUCCUUCAUGAGUUCUUACGGUAGUCUUUGCUCCUUCAUACAUAUCCUUUAUAGCUUGGAUAUAUGCUACUCGUACUCCUUUCUUCUCUAAAAUCCUCCAAAGAAUGUCUCUUGGGACCCUAUCAUACGCUUUUUCCAAAUCUAUAAAGACCAUGUGUAAAUCAUUUUUCCCAUCUCUAUAUCUUUCCAUCAAUCUUCGUAAGAGAUAAAUUGCCUCCAUGGUUGAGCGCCCUGGCAUGAACCCGAAUUGGUUGUCCGAAACCCGUGUCUCUUGCCUCAAUCUAUGCUCAAUGACUCUCUCCCAGAGCUUCAUUGUAUGACUCAUUAGCUUAAUACCCCUAUAGUUCAUGCAAUUUUGUACGUCGCCCUUAUUCUUGUAGAUAGGCACCAAAGUGCUCGUUCGCCACUCAUUUGGCAUCUUCUUCGUUUUCAAAAUCCUAUUGAAAAGGUUAGUGAGCCAUGUUAUACCUGUCUCUCCCAAAACUUUCCACACUUCGAUUGGUAUAUUGUCUGGGCCUAUUGCUUUUUUAUGCUUCAUCUUCUUCAAAGCUACAACCACUUCUUCCUUCCGGAUUCGACGAUAAAAAGAGUAGUUUCUACACUCUUCUGAGUUACUCAACUCCCCUAAAGAAGCACUCAUUUCAUGUCCUUCAUUGAAAAGAUUAUGAAAAUAACCUCUCCAUCUGUCUUUAACCGCGUUCUCUGUAGCAAGAACCUUUCCAUCCUCAUCAUCCUUGAUGCACCUCACUUGGUUUAGGUCCCUUGUCUUCUUUUCCCUUGCUCUAGAUAGUUUAUAGAUAUCCAACUCUCCUUCUUUGGUAUCUAGUCGUUUAUACAUAUCGUCAUAAGCCGCUAACUUAGCUUCUCUGACAGCUUUCUUCGCCUCUUGCUUCGCUUUUCUAUACCUUUCACCAUUUUCAUCGGUCCUCUCCUUGUAUAAGGCUUUACAACAUUCCUUCUUAGCCUUCACCUUUGUUUGUACCUCCUCAUUCCACCACCAAGAUUCCUUUUGGUGUGGGGCAAAGCCCUUGGACUCUCCUAAUACCUCUUUUGCUACUUUUCGGAUACAACUAGCCAUGGAAUCCCACAUUUGGCUAGCUUCCCCCUCUCUAUCCCACACACAUUGGGUGAUUACCUUCUCUUUGAAAAUGACUUGUUUUUCUUCUUUUAGAUUCCACCAUCUAGUCCUUGGGCACUUCCAAGUCUUGUUCUUUUUGUCUUACUCUUUUGAUAUGUACAUCCAUCACCAACAAGCGAUGUUGAUUAGCCACGCUCUCUCCUGGUAUAACUUUGCAAUCCUUACAAGUUAUACGAUCCCCUUUCCUCAUUAGAAGAAAAAUCUAUUUGUGUUUUUGACGACCCACUCUUGUAGGUGAUCACAUGUUCUUCUCUCUUCUUAAAGAAGGUGUUGGCUAAGAAGAGAUCAUAUGCCAUUGCAAAAUCCAAGAUAGCUUCCCCAUCCUCGUUUCUCUCCCAAAACCAUGGCCACCAUGAAAACCUCCAUAGUUGCCUGUCUCCCUGCCCACGUGUCCAUUUAAAUCUCAUCCUAUAAAUAACUUCUCCGUCUGAGCAAUUCCUUGCACCAAGUCUCCAAGAUCUUCCCAAAAUUUCUCCUUCGAACUCGUAUCCAACCCUACUUGAGGUGCGUACGCACUAAUCACAUUGAUAAGUUCUUGUCCUAUUACAAUCUUGAUUGCCAUGAUUCUAUCUCCUACCCUCUUGACAUCUACAACAUCUUGUACCAAGGUCUUGUCCACGAUGAUGCCAACACCGUUUCUCGUUCUAUUUGUGCCCGAAUACCAAAGUUUAAACCCUGAGUUUUCUAGAUCCUUUGCCUUACUACCAACCCACUUAGUUUCUUGUAGGCACAUAAUAUUUAUCCUUCUCCUCACCAUAACUUCCACUACUUCCAUAGAUUUUCCCGUUAAGGUUCCUAUAUUCCACGUUCCUAAACGCAUUUUGCUCUCUUGAACUCUACCCUUCUGUCCUAGCUUAUUCACCCUCCCCCGUCUAAUAGGAUCAAAGUACUUCUUUUGUGUGUCCCGGGUAAAGUUGCUAGGAGCAUAUGCUCCCAAACAACUUUGAGUGGAGUCGUUCGAAAAGAAGUUUCUAUGGCCCCCUUGCUCAUUUAACACUGCAUCCGGGUGCCGAUGGAAAUACAGCGACCCUUGCUCACUUAUCACUGUGCUCGGGCCACACAGCGCGCCACUUACGGGUUUCGGAAGCAAUUCUGGUUUGUUCAAUCCAACUUUUGCCUUUGCAAUUCCUGCUCCUACACACAAAUAAAGGGUUUUCUACAUUUCUGGUGUUAGAAAUUACUUAAGGGACCUGUAGUUAGAUCUUCCUUUUGUUCCAUUAGAUGGGGUGAAGUUGCUUGCUCCCUUAAUUUCUCCAGGUUCCACCCAACAGUCUAUUCAGCUUCUUUAUGAACCAUAUUUAUCUAUCUUGCUCGUAUUUUACUGUGAACUGCAAUUGAGUAUUUGCUACUUCUAGAACCCUUCUCUACAACUCAUAGAAGUUGUCAAGAGUUCCACAAGGGAAAAUGGAUGUUUGCCGCUCAAAUGGUGGACCAUGGACUGCCAUGAAUGGACGUGACAAACCUCCAGGCCUCAAUUUGAAAAUUCAUAGUGCGCUUUGGUUAUUUGAAAAUUCAUUUGUUGCUGUAUUAAAAAAAUUAUGGAAUUGCAGAAAAGGAUAACAAAAACAUGCCUGACCUAGGAGAGAGAACCUUUGGACUAAAACUCCUAGACCCAGUUGUUGGAAUUGGCUAUGGGGUUUGAAUGAGGAUCAUCUCCGGAUCCUCUUUGUGAGGAUCCAGGGGAUCAUUUAAUUGUGUCAAUUCAUCGUACAUUGUGUAGUUAGAGAUUAUUUUAAUUUUUUUAUUUAAAAUUGAACAUACAUAGUAACUGAUGAAAACUAAUAGCGCGAUUUACAAUAAACGGACACGAUUAAAGAAUUCCCUAGAUCUUCACGGAGAGGAUCAUGCGGUUUUGUGUUGAAGGGAGAUGAUGACACGACGCAAUGAUAGUGAUGGGUGGUUUGAAUGCAGGAUGUGAGGUUUGUAUGAAAGAGAUAGAAAAGUCAGCUUGAGAGAGAAACUUGAAAAGAAAUCCUAAGGGUGGAGGUAGGAUUCUUUAUAGUCUUUGUAUAUGUAAAAUUCACUCUCAAAUCCUACAAAAUCUCUUACUUAAUGAAAUCCUUUAAAAUCGAUGACAUUUUGAAUACCCAUAGAUUUGCACAUUAGAUUUUAAAUCCUAAUUGGCUACACCUGAAUUUGAAUGCAUUUUUUUAAAUCCUGUUAAAUCUUACUUUGACUACACCAUAAGUUCAAAGUCUAUUAAAAUCCUCUUUUAAAAUCUUAAUUGACUACACCUUGAUACUAAAGUCUUUUAAAAUCCUUUCAAAUCUCAAUUUGACUAUACCCCUUAAAAACACCACCAAUACAUGCAAAUCAUAUCAAAAUAUAAAUUAAACACAGAAAACGCUAUGUAUGAACAGCGACGAUUGAGUUAUCUAGCUCAAGUAUUCCAGGUCCGACAUGGGUCCAUAAGAACAUAUAUAUAAUAUAGCGCACCGAAAUGAAACGAUAAUUCAACCGCUGAUGCUUGUAUGCACCAAGAUAUUCAACAUAAGAACAACAACGGAAUAUUGCUAAUGAAUGGAGAUAUUGGACAUGUGGAGAGAUGCUCAUAAUGAUAACAAUGUGAAUGGAGGAUAAUGAGUCACAAAUAAUUCUAGUGUGGUAGUGAUGAAUUUCUGAUGAUGUUCUUGUAAUGUUAGAUUUUGUGGCAGCGUUCGAGAAAGCAAAAAAGAAAGAAGAAAAUAUUACUUAUAAUGAUGAAUUUCUGAUUAAUAUAAGGUUUUGUGGUAGUGUUUGAAACUUGAAAUUUGGAAUUUCAUCUAAUUGUUUAGCUACUACGAUUACAUUAUUAUUAUGUGUAUUUGAGUUCAUGAUUGUGCUUGCUAACACUUCAAAUUUAUUGUUAAUGGAUCUCCUUUGAUUCAAAACGUUUAUGUUUCUCGUGCAUUAUUUCAUUUUAUGUUAUAAGAUUCAACUAAUAAAUCCUAAGAAAUUCACGAAAGAAAUUCAUGCAAAUUCAUAGAAAUCUAUAAUAGAAAUCCAUACAAAUCCAUAGAAAUCUAUAAUAGAAAUCCAUAUAAAUCUGUCAAAAUCUAUAUAGAAUUGAGAAUCUUUUAAAAUCCUUUGAAAUUUGUCACUUAAAAAAAGUCUAUUAAAAUCCUGUGAAAUCCAAAUUGACUACACCUCCCUUGAAAAGAAAUCCUAAGGGUGGAGGUAGGAUUCUUUAUAGUCUUUGUAUGUGUAAAAUUCACUCUCAAAUCCUACAAAAUCUCUUACUUAAUGAAAUCCUUUAAAAUCGAUGACAUUUUGAAUACCCAUAGAUUUGCACAUUAGAUUUUAAAUCCUAAUUGGCUACACCUGAAUUAGGAUGCAUUUUUUUUAAAUCCUGUUAAAUCCUAUUUUGACUACACCAUGAGUUCAAAGUCUAUUAAAAUCCUCUUUUAAAAUCUUAAUUGACUACACCUUGAUUCUAAAGUCUUUUAAAAUCCUUUAAAAUCUCAAUUUGACUACGCCCCCUUAAAAACAUCACCAAUACAUGCAAAUCAUAUCAAAAUCUAAAUUAAACAAAGAAAACACUAUGUAUGAACGGGGAUGAUUGAGUUAUCUAGCUCAAGUAUUCCAGGUCCGACAUGGGUCCAUAAGAACAUAUAUAUAAUAUAGCGCACCGAAAUGAAACGAUACUUCAACUAUUGCUGCUUGUAUGCACCAAGUGGCCUCCUCGAAUUCAGUAAUAAAAAAUCAGCAGGAUGAUAUAUCAUUGAUCAAAAAUCAGAAGGAUGAUAUAUCAUUGGUCAAAAGGGUGGGACUGGGAGAACCCUAACCGUCCUUAUCUUCAGGGAAGAAGAACUCUUUCCAUAAUCUAGUUGUUUCGAUCUUUUUGUCUGGCUUCGGGCAUUGUGAGGUCCUAUGGUGACCAAUCUCAUCACAAAAGGAACACCAAAGGAUAUGAACACGCCCCCCGUAUAUUUCAUAGCCCUUGCCAACUUGAGUUACGCCGAAGGGGAUACGUCUCCUCCAGGGACAUUGUUCAGGAGCGUGGCCAAACUUAGUGCAAAUUGGACAACUAGACGGCAAUCAGAAACUAUGCGUGGCUCGACUAUGCAUUUGGGAAUUUUGUCCUCCUUGUAAAAAGCUGGGCUAGGAUUCUUCUCCUCAAGUGGGAGUUGAGCUAGAGAGUCUGCAACAGCCUUUACAUUCGUGAGGUCAGUCGUCAGAGAGUCUUUAACAGCCGCCUUUUUUUCUUUCUUCUUAUCUGCGUGUUUCGUAAAAUGUACAGAUACGUUAAUAAGUAGGUCAUCCGCACUCGAGCCCUUAAUAACUUUUCAACGUAACAAGAGAUUUAGAAUUUUUAUGAACACAAAAAGUAAAGCAUCAAGAACCCUAAUUAAGUUCAAGCUUUGUAACCCUAAAAACAUAUGCAGAUUGCAACAAAAAUAUGCAGCCUAAUUAUGCUGCUGUAAAUUCGAAAUUACAGAUAAUCUUCCUCCUCACAAACCAUAAAAACCAAGAUUCGUCGGUUGGGUACGAAUUGGAUUCUUCCCCUUCGCCGAUCCUCCUGGUCCUCCGGCGGGGGACUUGGCCUUGGAUCUGGCUUCCUUGGGUCUGCCUUCGGAUCGGCAUUUCAUGGUUUUGUGUUUGAGAUAGAGAGAGAGGAAGGCAAGAAUUUGGUUUUUUGUUUAGGUUGGUUUGUCCCAGUUUGGAGGAAGGCAAGAAUUUGGUUUUUUGUUUAGGUUGGUUUGUCCCAGUUUGUUUGAGCCUUUAGACUUAAUAGUUAAUUAUACUAAACCUUCAAAGUGUAUAAUACCCUACACAUUUAAUUGAUUGUCUUUUUCUUUUUCUUUCCUAUUUAGUCUAAAUACGGCCCAACAUGACUCUCCUUGAUUUGUGAAAUGGACUAAUUACAAAGAUAAAUUAACACUUAAGAACCGAGGUUAAUUUAACGAACGAGUGCAGUUUGAACCAACUUCGAACUCUUUCAUAAAAGGGUACGAGUUGUUACGAGAUUUAUGAACAAAUUUCAAGAGUGUUUCAUUUUAAAAACCAAAUCUCUACGUUGUAAACCAUCCUAACUACUUCUAACUUGAUUUAUUUGUAUUUAAAAUGUCACGACUUAUGUUUGGUAUGUUAUUAUUUGUGAAAAAUCGUACAUCCUUAUGUUUCAAAUCAAUUCACCAAAAUUAUACUUGUACCCAGUUUCAUAUGGGAGAUGUUUUAUGCGCAUUUCCUGAUGCAAACCCUCUUAUUUUCCGAUAGUCAGAAAGUUUGUUAUUCUUCAGUGGAAUGUGACCCAAAAACACAUUACGAUUGAAACAUAAUAUUUUUUUGGUCAUCUAUAGGUUUCUCCAUCGUUUACUUUUUUAAUGUGGGCUCGUAAUUGUAAUGAUAUCUGUUGUUUGAUCUUAAAUAUUAUUGGUAUACAAAUUCUGAACAUAUUGUACUUUCCACAGGAAAGGCCUUGAAGUGACGGACGACGUGUCUAUUGUGGAGCACCUUCAGCAUCCGGUGUACAUCACCGAAGGAUCUUAUACCAACAUCAAGGUAAUGAAACAUACUAACUGAAGCUUGAUUCUUUACUGUAAACCAAUAGUAAGCAGUCCAGUGCCAGUCUCUGACGUAAACGUUUCUCAGUGUAUUUGGAAAUUCAAUCUCUAUAACGUAACACAUAAUAUCAAAGGAUGUGAUUCAUUGAAUUACAAACAAUGUGGUGGUGUUUUGCAGGUGAGAACGCCGGAUGAUUUAUUACUCGCGGAAAGAAUGUUAAGUAUGAGCUCGGGAAAGUCUUCUUCUGAAUAGCCGUCUCUCUGUAUGCUGAUUUUGUGCCAGUGCUUGUAUUUUCGUUCUUCUUUCCUUUGUGUAGACGAAACUAAAGCCGAAAAACAUUUAAAUCCAAAAAAAUUUAUUAAAGGGGAUGUGAUUUUGUGCAAGUGCUUGUAGUUUUGUGGUUGUUCUAAUAGAAAUUAUCAUAUUUAUAUGAGUUGAAAUUAAUUGUGUAGAAAUUGUGAGAAGAUACUGUGAUUAAUGGAGGCUAAGGAGCUUGUCAUGUUUCACCCGAACAUGCUUUUAAGCAAAACCAAUUAUGGUAUCAACAAGAGCUUCAUCAAAGGAGUUCAAUCACAAUUCUCAAAAGCUUCACACACUCUUGAUCAAGACAGUGUGAAGCAAAACCAAUUUAUGGUGCCAAUAAGAGCUUCAUCAAUGGAGAGCAACCACAAUUCUCAAAAACUUCACACACUUUUGAUCAAGACAGUAUGAAGCAAAACCAAUUUAUGGUGCCAACAAAAGCUUUAUCAAAGGAGUUCAACCACAAUUCUCAAAAGCUUCACACACUCUUGAUCAAGACAGUGUGAAGCAAAACCAAUUUAUGGUGCCAACAAGAGCUUCAUCAAAGGAGGGCAACCACAAUUCUCAAAAACUUCACACGUUCUUGAUCAAGACAGUGUGAAGCAAAACCAAUUUAUGGUGCCAACAAAAGCUUUAUCAAUGGAGGGCAACUACAAUUCUCCAACCUUCGAAGCAAAUUCAAUUUAUAUGGUUCAUCCAAACCUUCGACUACUACAAGGUGUGACUUGCAUCACAAUCUCUUGCUUAAUAGUGUGGAAGCAAAAUUUGUAUAUUAGUCUCUCCCACAUUUUCAAAUUUCUAGUUUCCCACAAAAAAAAGGGAAAUUCAACAAAGCUUCAUCAAUGGAGGACAACUAUAAAUUCUCAAAAGCAUUAAGAUAGUGUGAAGCAAAAUCAAUUCGUGGUAUCCAACAAAGCUUCACCACAAAAGCUUCAUCAACAGAGGACAACUACAAAUUCUCAAAAGCUUCACACUAUCUUGAUCAAGAUAGUGUAAAGCAAAAUCAAUUUAUGGUACCCAACAAAAGCUUCAUCAAUGGAGGACAACUACAAAUUCUCAAAAGCUUCACACUAUCUUGAUCAAGAUAGUGUGAAACAAAAUCAAUUCAUGGUACCCAACAAAAGCUUCACCCAUAAAAGCUUCAUCAACAAAAACUUCAACUCCAAAGCUUCACCAACAAAAGCUUCAUCAAUGGAGAACAACUACAAAUUCUCAAAAGCUUCACACUAUCUUGAUCAAGAUAGUGUGAAGCAAAAUCAAUUCAUGGUACCCAACAAAAGCUUCAACUCCAAAGCUUCACCUACAAAGCUUCAACUCCAAAGCUUCACCUACAAAAGCUUCACCCACAAUAGCUUCACCCAUAAAAGCUUCACCAACAAAAGCUUCACCCACCACAAAAACUUCACCCACCACAAAAGCUUCACUUACAAAAGCUUCACCCAUAAAAGCUUCACCAACAAAAGCUUCACCCAUAAAAGCUUCACCAACAAAAGCUUCACCCACAAAAGCUUCCCCACCACAAAAGCUUCACUUACAAAAGCUUCACCCAUAAAAGCUUCACCAACAAAAGCUUCACCCAUAAAAGCUUCCCCCACCACAAAAGCUUCACCCACAAAAGCUUCCCCCACCACAAAAGCUUCACCCAUAAAAGUUUCACCAACAAAAGCUUCACCCACCACAAAAGCUUCAACACAAAAGCUUCACCUACAAAAGCUUCACACUAUCUUGAUCAAGAUAGUGUGAAGCAAAAUCAAUUCAUGGUACCCAACAAAGCUUCAACCUCAAAACUUCAACACCAAAGCUUCACUUACAAAGCUUGAAAAUAUAUAUAUAUAUUUUUUUUUGGAAAUUCAAAAAUUCAAAAAUUCAAAAAUUCAAAAAUUCGAAAAUUCGAAGAAAAAAAAAUUGAAAAAAUCGAAAAAAAAAAUUGAAAAAAAAAUUGCCUAGACCUCCUCUUCUUUGGGCCUAACAACUUUCAUAACAAAUAUAUAUGAAGAUGGAGUUUUGGGCUACCACUUAGAAAGGAAAUGCCUCAUUCGUCAACUCCCUCGACCAGAGACUUGAGGGACUCCUACCAUAUGCUACUGCACCUUGAUACUCGGAAAUCUCACGACUACUCAGUGACUUGGAUUUUUCAAGUUUCCAAACGAGAAGUUUUCCUCACUCGGGAAAUUAAGGGAGCACUACCUCAACCUACAUGCUUCACUCACAAAGCUUCAACAUACAAGCUUCAACAAAAGGAAAAAUUCAAAGAACUUAGUGAAGAAAGCAUUGGUGUAUUUAACACAAUACGUUGAAAUGAAGCAAAACUUGUUUAUUGAUAUCUCCGAUAAGUUACAAAUAUGUACAUAUACAUGAAUCAAAAUAAACAAACAAGAGAGAGCCUUCACAAAGGUUGCUCAGGACAAGUCUCAUCAGUCGACAGAGCCCCAGAAAGAGGACGCACCAGAGGGUGAUUAUUCGGAGCCUCAGUACUAGGCAGAACCCCAGAAGGAGGAGGCACCAAAGGUUGAUCAUUUGGAGCUUCAUUACGCGGUACAGCCCCAGAAGACGAAGGCAAUAAAUGCCUUUGGAACAAACCCACAAACCUCUGAUGAUAAAGUAAAAUCUGACCAUCAGAUUCCUGCAGCUGGUCGAGCUUCCUCUUCAUGUUUGUAGCAUAGUCAUGUGCGAGCCUGUGCAACUGUUUAUUCUCAUGCUUGAGCCCUCUGAUCUCCUGUUUGAGACUUAUCACUUCAGCCGCCAAUGAUUCAACUUGGCGGGUUCGAGCAAAUAGGCGUUAGGCCAUAUUAGACACAGAAUCUGCACACUGAACACUGAGAGCCAGAGAAUCCUUAACAGCCAACUCAUCAGACCGUUUGGAAAGUAGUCUUUUAUCUUUGGGAGUGAGAAGGUUCCUGGCCACCACCGCAGCGGUCAUAUCAUUCUUCAUCACAGAGUCCCCAAUGGUAAGAGGACCAGUAGGGGAUAAGAAGGAUGGGCGCCAUAUGUUGUCUUGAGAAGGCAUGGCUGCCUCUUCACCAAAGUUCAAGUCAAAACGACGGUCGGAUGGGCCAGACAUUCUCAGAAAUGAUGAAGGAGAAAUGAGGUGCAAUAAAUCUCUGAAGUAAGGGGAAAAUUCCUAUAAGCAAUAACUCUCUGAAUGUACUUCUUGCACACAAUUGGUGCCCUUAUAAAAGAAAGGGCAAUAGGGCCGUUGGUUCAAAAAUUGAAGAGGCACCACUCUCCGAAUUCUGAAAAAACACCACUUUCCACACGCAACAUCAGCUCCUCGGGUACCACAUACAACUUUGCCAAAAAUCUCUAACAAAGUUUAGACACAUAAAUUUUGAAGGUCCAGCUACCCUACUAUUACCCACAAAGGUAAAGGAACAGCACCACUGCUUGAUAAUUAGAAAGUCUCAAUGUGUGUCAACCUCCGUGCUCUGUGGCAAGGCAGGCUGGCAAAAAUGCCCAACCUUUACUCACAUUCGAGAAAACACUCCCAACAAGAAUGCUUGCUCAAAAAUCGAAGAAGCACAGCUCUCCGAAUCUCGGGAGCCAGACUCCCAACAGGAUUACGUGCUCAAAAAUCGAAGAGGCACCGCCCUCCGAAUCUCGAGAGCCAGACUCCCAAAAGGAUUACUUUCUCAAAAAUUGAAGAGACACUGCUCUCCGAAUCUCAAGAGUCAAAUUCCCAAUAGGAUUACUUUAUCAAAAAUCGAAGAGACCCUACUUUCCGAAUCUCAAGAGUCAGAUUCCCAACAGGAUUGCUUUCUAAAAAAUUGAAGAGGCACUGCUAUCCGAAUCUUGAGAGCCAGACUCCCAACAGGAUUACGUGCUCAAAAAUCGAAGAGGCACCGCCAUUCGAAUCUCGAGAGCCAGACUCCCAACAUGAUUACUUUCUCAAAAAUCGAAGAGACAUUGCUCUCCGAAUCUCAAGAGUCAGACCCUCAACAGGAUUGUUUUCUCAAAAAUCGAAGAGGCACCGUUCUCUGAAUCUUGAAAGCCAGAUCCCCGACAGUAUUGCUUGUUCGAAAAUCGAAGAGGCACCGCUCUCCGAACUUCGAGAGCCAAAUUUCCUUGGAUAAAGCUUGUUUGCAAUCUUCACACGUAACAUCAGUUUUCCAGAUACCACAGACCACUUUUUCAAAGUGCUCUGACAAAGUUAAAACACGUGAAGCUUGCAGCUCCCACUACAUUGCUAUGACCAAGAAUGGUAAAGGAAUAGCACUACUACUUAUUGUUAGGGAGACUCCUAUAUAUGUCGACCUCUAUCCUCCACAGCUAGGCAGACCUGCAAAUAAAAAAAAUGCUCAACUUUUCUUCACAUCCUAGAGGGCACGCUCAGUAGAGUCUCUCGAAAUACUCAGUUUUUUUCCUCCCGAUAAUACCUCUGUAAACAAGCCACACCAGAGCAAGAGUAUCUCAUAUCAUCAAGGUUAAAAGCAAGAGUAUCCCAUAUCAUGCUUUUUCCCUGUCUUUUCCUUUGGCCUUGUUCUUACCUACAAGACAAGGAGAAAGAGAGCAAUCAGUCAGCACUUGGAAUCAAGCCUCCAGUCAGAAACUAACUGCCUGGAACCCCUUGCCUGAUUACUUACCUAGCAUUGCUCUCAAGUACUCAUCUUCAACAUCUUAUACUUCCAGAAAAGAUACCAUAUCUGCCUGAGGAACAUAUAGGGCAAGUAAGAAUGAUACAAGGGAGCAUGUGGAGACAAGCGUAACAGAACACGUGUCGAUACAUCCACUACUUUGUCAACAGCAAAACUAUCCCAUAUCAUCAGGGUCGAACGUACUCUAGAUUUGAUGGACUUGUUUUGACCCUUAAAUUCUUGAGUCGGCCUUAUACUCUGGAGGAAACCAGAAAACCCUCCAGCCCAGUUCAAGAAUAAGCCUGUGGAAAGUUACUUCUUCAAAAGCAAAAGUACUCAUAUCAUCUCUUCUCAAUUUGCUUCUCCUUAUCCUUGUUGCUGUGUACGACAGAAGAAGAAGGAGAACAAUCAACCGGAAGCCGAAGUCGAACCUCCAAUCCAGGUUGCUUGCUUGGAAGUCUGAUUGCUUACCUUGUUUGUUACCUUAUUCGGCAAAUCUCCUAGCUCGAUGACUUGGGGGACUCCUACUAUAGGGUUUGUAUCGCACUUGACCAAGCCCGAAACUACAAGUAAGUUUCAAGUGAAAUUGAUACAUUACCUUGUGCAUCUUCAUCGGUUAAAGAUACCACCCCUGGAUGGAGGAAAAAUACUUCCAGAGAAGAUGCCACAUCUACAUAUGAGACAGAUAAGGCAAGUGAAAAUGAUACCACACUUCGGUACUUAGAAGUUUCGUGAUUACUCAAUGGCUUGGAUCUUGCAAGUCCCCAACCGAGGAGCUUCCCUCACUUGAGAACUUAAGGGAGCACUGUUUGUACCAUACUUGACCAAUCUCGAAACUACUGAGCACCGGUCAACGUUAUACCGUCAAUGACCCAAAAAAGUUUCCCUCCAACUAGGGGGCCAAUCACAGCGCGACACGUAUCGACAUCAAAAGCCAAUCAUAGCGCGACACAUGUCAACAUCAGAAGCCAAUCACAACACGACACAUGUCAAUGUCAGAAUGAAACUAGAAACUUUCUUCUAUAAAUAGAGAUCAUUCUCUCACAAUAUUUCCUAAUGUCAUUUGUACUAAAUCAUUCACUUGUACUCACUAAAGAAGAGCUUGAACCUAUGUACUUGUGUAAACCCUUCACAAUUAAUGAGAACUCCUCUACUCCAUGGACGUAGCCAAUCUGGGUGAACAACGUACAUCUUGUGUUUGCUUCCCUAUCCUUAUCCAUUUACAUACUUAUCCACACUAGUGACCGGAGCAAUUUAGCGAAGGUCAUAAACUUAACACUUUCUGUUGUACCAAAGUCCUCACCAAUUUUGUGCAUCAACAGUAAUAAUCAAAUACAACUUGCUAAAAUAAUAUUCAUCUGCCAACAAUGAAAACAUAGUGAUAAUGCAUGACAUGUUCAAAGCAUACAUCUAAUUGAGAAUACAAGUGGAAUGGCUAUUACAACGAUAUCAAAGCAGAAAGGAUGGCACGAUAUCACUGGUAGGGAAAUGUCUCGUAGGGAAAUGCCUCUCCGUCGCUCUGGUUGCAAUGAUUCCAUCUUUCAUGCCUUCAGGCUCAUACUUUCUUCCCCCGUCAGUGUAAAGGUGGAAAACAUACUUUAUAAAGAUGUAAAGUCGAAAACAUAUAUUGACAUAAGGUAAAAAAUAAGUACGCAAAAUAUGAUCGCGUCAACAUAGGUAUGUACUAACAUAUAGGUCGAAAAACUCGUACUGAAAGUCAAAACUGAAAAACGAAAGUGGGUUUCGCCUAAACAUACGUAACAUCACGCACUACGAGAAAAGUUAUCUUUGGAUCGAGCCCUAACAAUGACUACUUUGUAACAUCUAUCGUAGACGGGUCUACUUGCCCACUUGCUUAAUGAACCAAAUGAAUAAGCUAUCAAUAUCACAGUCUGCAGCCCGCAAUAUCGACAACACAUUGUUGUCUCAAUAAACAAAUAGUAAUUUCCCGAUGGUGCAUAAUUACCUGUUUGACCUGCAACGUGAGAGUGUGCAUAGAUCGUCCGAUUCUCGCCUCGAUUGCGCUAUCGUACCUUUCCAAAGCACACCAGUCAUAUCUGCUAGAAGUGUUUCGACAUCCACGUAAUUAUGAAAAAUAAGGUCCUGGAGUGAAGCAGUGAAAAAAUGUGUUAAGACAAACACAUAUCGUUGGAAAGAACUACUAGAGUACGAUAUGAUGUUUAUGAAUUGUAGCAAGAUAAUAAGAUGUGACAAUUCAUUUCUGUGUGAAGAUAGUGAUUGGUGAUGCAAUCCGCUAACCACCUGCACUACAACCUUCAUCAAAUUCUUACUAAAAGAUGGCUCAAACAUCAUACUCACAUGGAACUCUUCCUGAUAAAACUGGUAAGCUUGUGAAAAGGUUAUGCUCCUAACGUUCCUGUCCGAAUCGAUAUGAACUAGGCGCACACUUCAGCUGAGUCGAUUCCUCAUGAAAUCCUUAAGGAUUGAGUGAGAAACCAUGUCGAGAAGGCCAAAAGAACACUCAAGAAUUUGAGGGUCAAAACAAGUCUAAGGAUAUUUCGUAUUUCGCAACUCCUUGUGAGGAUUUUCAAUUUCCAAAGAUCUCAACCCCUUUUGGAAAUUGAUGAGAAUAGCGCCUGCUACCAAAGGGUCUCCUAAGAAAAGUAUAAAAAUCUAAACAAAGUCAACGCUCAAAGGAUUUGGUGUGAAGUUGAUAGUCAAUGGUUAGGGAACUUAACUUUGUCGUUGGAGUAAGCAAGAAAGUUAUCGUUAGAACAAUCAUCAAGAACUAUUCUAAAGAUCCACAUGAAUUUCCUCAGCAGGAAUGAGUCCGAGAACAUUGAUUCGAUCCCACCAACUACCACUUACUAAAUGUCGUCAUAACUAAAGCUGACUCGCUUUCUCCAACACGCACUUCAAAGGUUUCGAGUAAUUGCUGAUUAGUCGAUUUUAUACUAUAUAUUAUUCCUUAUUCUUGGUAUAUUUUGGUUAUUAUUUUGGUGAAAUUUUGAUGCUUUGCUAUGUGUUUUUAAUGUAGGACAUGCGAACUUGUUUUGAGCAUAAAGUAAUCAAACGGUGGAAUUUUUUAGUGAUUCCAAUUGGAGCAGGUUCGUGAGUCUGUCAAGAAGAAUGUGUCAAAAUUCAUAAUUUUAUCUCGAAGCAUCAGAUCGUGGCGAAUUAAUUUAUGCCCAGCAUGUAGUGCUAGCAGAUUGGGCUGCAGAGCUUAUUUGCAACUUUUGAGCUGGAAGAUGAUAGAUUUUGGACUUGGGCUCUUCUUGGAACUUGAAGAGGAGGUUCUGAUCUUUAGUUUGAGUUGUUUUGGAGCCCUGAAGGUCCAGAAACGUGGCUGUUUCUCUACUGGGAAAAUUUCCUAGUCAGAAUGGGAAUGUAAUUCCUAGUUAUCUUUUGUUAUUUUAUUUCCUAGUUUUUAGAAAACCUUUUCUACGAGGGUUUUAAUUUGGAGUAGUAUAAAUAAGGCUUUUAAGCCACUAGGGUUAGGGGGAGAAGGCCCGCAUUAUUUUGGAGAACUUCAGACUUUUUACCUACAAGGUGUUUUCAAUCAUUUUUUCUAGUUAAUAUAUUUUCUUUAGUUUUUGUAGUUGUUCGUAACUAAUUUCCGUUUUCUAGGGCGAAGCCAUAAGCCUUAGCAUGAAUAUGUGAUUUUAUUAAUUUGCUUAUGAAUGGAUGCAUGCUUGCUUUGAAUUAUUAAUCACCGCGAUUAAAACUAUCUAAUUGUCUUAGUGAUUCGCAACCAUUAGGAUUUUUAGACAAGUAAUUUGAUGUAGUUUCUGUUGGAACAUCACCCUGAAAUUGAGGAGGGCUUCUUGGGAUUAAUAAUUGUAAGUUCACUUAAGGCGAACAUCACGCUCUUAAGGGUUGCAUGGUUUUUCAAAUGGUUUUCACAAAGCUUAAUGAGUCUUGCAUGUUUAUAUUUGAUCUGAACAUUACAGACGGGCUGCAUGUUAGAUAUACGUUUUCGCUUAAAGAUCACGAGGAAAAUAUGCAUUAGGAAAACCUAACCUUCAAAGCAUGUGUGGAAAUUCGUAAGUAAUUGGUAAAAUUGCAUAGGAUUGUUAAGGGGACGGUGGAACCCUAGGCUUUUACAGAUUGAUUUUCUUUAAAUUGUUCUCUAGUUAAUUUAUUUAAUUGUCUUUAAUUUAAAUUCGUUUUUAUUAUUUUAAAUUCCAAAAUCAUCCUUUUCACAACUUUGUUCUAAAUAAUUAGCUAAUGAUUAGUAUAAAUACAAAUUAUUCAUUCAAUCCCUACGGAAACAACCUUGCUUGAGUUGCUAUACUACAAGAACCUUGUACUCUUGCAAGUAUUUUUAAAUGUUUUUAUCCCUACUUUUGUAGGUGGUAAAAAUCCUUAUCAAUUACCACUAAGACAUGACUCUGCCCGCCAUUCCUGGGAACGCAUGUUGCAGAAUACAACACCGCUUCAGAUCUUUAGUUGGUCUUAACUGACUCGUACCACUAAGAUUUUUUCGUUUCUCCAACACUUUUAUGUAGAUCCGACUCCGCCUGUAAUUCCUAGAGAACGCAUGUCGCAGAGUGGCAUUGCCAUUUCGGAUCUUCAACUGGUCUUAACCAAACUUUCUCUCACUGAGAUUUCGAAAUCAUGUCACUUCAAUGUAAAACCGACUCUGCCUGCAAUUCCUAGGGAACGCACGUUGCAGAGUAUCGGUUUGAUGUUGAAAGUCAUCCAACAAUCCAAUUUGUCAUCGAUGAGGCACAAUCCCGACACGAGUUUCUUCUUCUUCAAUAAGAUGUGACAUUUCAAGUCUAAUGACGAUUGCACAACGUGUCGAAAAACAACAUAUUCGGAAGUCAUGACAUCCAAAUGAUGUCAUCACUGACAAACUACUAGUGUACGAUGUGAUCCUAUGUAUGCUUUGGACAAACCGAGCUCUGAUACCAAUCUGACACGCCCCGAUGACAUCCAAAUGAUGUCCGAGAGACAUCGGGAUGGUCAUGUGUUGGCUGACACCCGAGGGUGACGAAAGCCAUUUAAUGAAUGCAUAUGCUAAGAACAUGUAAAACAUGCAUAUAAAUUUCGCUCGAAAUACUAAUAGUAAUAAUCAAAUACAACUUGCUAAAAUAAUAUUCAACUGGCAACAAUGAAAAUAUAGUGAUAAUGCAUGACAUGUUCAGAGCAUACGUCUAAUUGAGAAUACAAUCGGAAUGUGCUAUUACAAUGAUGUCAAAGCGGAAAGGAUGGCACGAUAUCAUUGGUAGGGAAAUGCCUCGUAGCUCGGAUCGUAAGCCUCGUUCUUAUGUCCUUAGGGGGCGCAAAACAAAUAUGAGUGGACCAAGUUAAUAUAUAAAUAGUACGAACAUAAUUAUUCAACCACGUACGAACCCCCAAAGUUUUAUGAAAACUCAAUAGCAUAAUAUGUAAUAGGUUUUCCGAAAACCCUAGCAUGCCAUAGAACUUCAUAAAACAUAUAUCAUAUAUAGUGUGCUAAAUAGUGGUAUCAAGAUCAUCCAAAGCCAUCUAUAAAUGCUCGGCCGAAGCCAUCUACCAACGCUCGGCCGAAGCCAUCUACAAACGCCCAGCUGAAGCCAAUAUAAACAUCUCCCGGUCGUAGCCAUCUACCAACGUCCGGCCGAAGCCAAUAUAAGUAUCAUCGCCCGUAGGCAAAACAGCGACCACUAGAUAAGCACAAAAACAUAUAUAUAAUUUUCAAACAUAAGUAUAUAUAUCUCAACGGAGCUCAGUAGCUCAAACAUCAUAGUAUAUAGUCAUCCAUCAUAUAUACUGCAAAGAAUGUGAAAACGAUAUAGUAUGGUAUUCAAAAAUAUCCUCAGUAAAGCAUGAUAAUUAUAUAAAGGUAAAUCCAAUUUACUCCUAAUGUUCCAUAAAACAUAUGCAUUAAAUCAUGCUUUUCAAGUAUGCAAUUCUAACAUUAAAAUAUGCAUUUUAGAAGGGUUCCACUCACAGAUACUCCAUCGUCGAAGAGCCAUGCAAACCAGCGAAUACGAAAACGCCACAAAUAAUUACCCCUAAGCACAUAAAGGGUCCAAUUAAUAAAAAUUUAUUCAAAUGAUUGAAUUUGGGAAAACGGACAUCAAAAACGGAUCCAGGACAUCAAAAUUAGGCUAGGAGGGGUCCUGGGUGAAUUUCGAAAAGUCAACAAAAGUCAACAAAGAAUAUUCCAGAGAAUAUUCAACCAGAUCUGGGUCGGGUUAGCAGGCGAGUCAACUAAAUCAAGUCAUACAAAAACCAAAGUUAUAGUAGUCAACAUGAUGAAGAGAUUGAUACCUUGGACGUCGGCUAACUCACCGUGGUUUGAGUGAAAAUCACCUAAAAAAGGGACGUGCUCACUAGAAAACUGGGGAAGUUUUCCCCCGUGAGGUUCCUACGUCCAAACAUCGAUAAAACUUCUUAAAAAUACUUCUAAACAUACACUAAGACAAGAUCUAUAACUUUUGGAUAAGGUUAAAGGCUUACCUUUGCCAGAGGAGGGGGAAACUCGCCGGAGAAAUUCGAAUAGUGUAGGCCGAGAGAAAGGGAGGGGUUUAGGGUGUUCUCUUUCGAUUCUAAGCUCACUAAGGUGUUAAUGGAGAUGUUGGUGUUGUUGUGGUGUUGUUUGUUGGUGAGAAAAGCCCUCGGAAGGGGUUGAGAUAGAGAGAGCUGAGAGAGAGCUUAGAGAGAAAAAGAGAAAGAGCUUUUUUAGAAAACAAAAGAAAAAGGGAGAGGGGGACUCACGGGUCCAGAAAGGAAAAGAGGAAAAAGGGGUUGGGGGGCUCAGAAAACAAAAGAAAAAGGGAAAGGGAGACUCACGAGUCCAGAAAGGAAAAGAUGAAAGAGGGGUCCGAGGGGGGGGAACCAAAAAGGGAAAAGGGCCCCAUGUGGCACACAAAAUAAGACCCAAAAGCACAAAUAAAAAUAUCUAGCCAAUUUCCAGAUAAAAUUACCACAAAACCCUCCCAAUUCAAAAUCCAUUUAAAUAAUCGGAACAAGUUGUUACAGCACAUCCUUUAUUUGUUUCUAACCAUUGGAUUAGAAAAAUAGAAGAAUCAGGAGUUAAAAUUUAGAAGGGCAUGCAAAAAUUACUCCUCUUUCGGAUUCGGUCACAUAGGUUAGUUGUUGCUCCUAUUGACUUGUUUGACAUUGAAAUUAGUUACCAAACACGGAAAAACAUAAAUUAACCAUACUCAAGUCCCAACUGAAAAUUAGUAUAUAUCAAUACACAUUUCUUAAAUAACACAAAUGUAACCUUGUUAGACCAUCUCCAAUUAUUAGGUUAAAACCUAAAAGUUUUAACCUAAAAAUAUGUUUUCUGCUCCAACCCUUCUGGUUAAAUUUUUGGUCUGAGAUCAAUAAAGAAUGAAUUUAUGAUUCUUAAAGUAACUUUAAAAAAAAAAUUAUGUAGACUAUCCAAAUUAAUUUUAUGAACAUUUUAACCUAAAAAUAUUUAGGUUCCAAUAAAUAUUGAAAAAUCACUAAACUGACAUCAUGAAACUUGUAGAACACUAUGAAAGAGUAUGAAACACAUGAAAGAAUUUUUUUUUUUAAUUAUUUUAACCUUUGGAUUUAAAUUUGGGCCAUUAGAUCUUUAUCUUUACCUUUAGAUUUGAUCAUAUUAGAUCUUAGCCGUUGAAUUCAAUAAAUUUAUAAAUAUAAAACUAAAAAAAUACAUAUAUGGUGGGCAAACCCACUAAAUUUGCCCCCAAAAAUAAGUUUUGGGUUAAAACUCAUAUUUGGUACAGGGGUUGGAGCAAGUUAAGGUAGGUUUAGAACCUAAAAUUUGAGUUUUACUCCAAGGAUUAGAGUUGGUCUUAGUAUGACUACCGGAAACCGGAAGAGCCAAUUUUACCAUUGGCAAUUUGAUUCUGCAAGCAAUAACUUAUAGACAAUGGUGCGUUAUAGGAAUACAUCAUCCUCACUAAUUCUGUGAGGGGAAAGGCGAAAUUUUCAAUCCUAUGGAAACCCGAAGACGGACAACUGUAAUACACAAACAAAAUAUAGAAGUAUCAAAGAAUGCACACGCAGACCGAAGAACGGAAAGACGAUUCCAGGAGAAAUAGAUUGUUGGAACCAGUCACACUAAACCCUAGCAAUAACAACCCAAACAUGUCAUCUCAUUUCAAGUCUACAAGUAAUCAUGGAUACACAAGUCAACCGCCAGUUUUCCAGCUCCUUGAUUUAAGGCACUUAACUUGUUGAUUACUUCUUAGUCUUGGAUUUGAUGUAAAUCACCUUAAAUUAAGGAAAAGCUUGUAUCCUAGGUUUAAAUGGUCUCUACGGUUCCAUGUAAAGAUGGUUACUUCUAACCAUUUGUUUCUCUCGCCUAUAUAUACUGCAUUGUACAUUCAAAAUUACUUAUGAAAUAGAAAACACUUUGAAACCAAAAAUCUACAUGGUAUCAGAGCAGUGUCAUCAUUGACCUCUCUCCCCGUUUAAUUUCCCCUACUAUUCUUGUGAGCUUCUGUAAUGGCUAUGGAAAGCUUAGUUAAUCUUGAGGGAGAAAGCUCGCAGGUAGCUCUUUCGAGUUUCUUAGACUCUGAAGUUAAUACUAACCAGCGUCUAUGCUCGGUGUUGCUGAAUGGGCUCAAUUACCUUCCUUGGUCUAGGGCAAUUUCACUUGCUCUAGAAAGAAGGGGAAAAUUAGGGUUCAUCAAUGGAAGUGUUGAAACUCCAUACUCAUCUUCUCAGGUCUAUGAAGCAUGGCUGUGCAAGGAUCAGUUUGUUAUGUCUUUGUUGCUCAACACCAUGGAGAAACAUGUUGCUGAGAUAUUUAGUUAUUCUGAAUCUUCACAAGAUUUGUGGAAAUCUGUGAAGGAUAUGUAUGGAAACCAAAACAACUAUGCUUGGGUAUUCCAGUUGAAAAGGGAUAUUGCUUGCCUCCAGCAAGAAAAGAAGUCUUUUGUCUAACACCUUGGCAGUUUGAAGACUAUGUGGAAUGAGCUUGAUGUUUACCUCUCUCGCACCACGGAUCCUACUAUUCUUUUUAAAAGAGCUGAGGAGGAUAAGAUCUACCAACUGCUCGCAAGCCUCAGCUCAGAAUAUGAGGAUAUCAGGAGUCACAUAUUAAUGAGCAUGGAGCUACCAUCAUUCAAGAUUGUUUGUGCCACGGUGCAACGUGAAGAAGCAAGAAAGAGGGUGAUGAAUCUAGAGCCUAAUCCCAAGUUAUCUGAGGCUCGAGGGUAUGUCGCAAACCACAGGAACCAUGAUGCCAAAAUGAACAAAGGAAAGAAUCCAUAUCUAAAGUGUAAGUAUUGCAAUGCUUCUGGUCAUACAGAAAAGAGGUGUUGGAAGCUGCACCCCGAACUCAAGCUUAAAUUCAAAUACAACAGGAUAAUGGUCCCAAGAUCCUCAUCAGUGGCUCCUCUCAAAGCUCAGCAUGUUGCCAACCAUGCUACCAGCUCACUCACUCAUGGCUUGACGGAUUUCACAACCAAUCCUGUUACUCUUAUCAAUGAGUUUGUAGCUUACUUGCAAACCAAGGAUCAUGGAUAAGCUGUACAAACGUCAAAGGGUGAAGGGAACAAACAAAAUGCACUUCUUGGACAUUUUGCAGGAUUUCUUGCUGAUCAUGAUCAUGUUCCGCGAGAUGCAGUCUCAGGUAUCUUCAAAGCAUUUUCAACUGCAUUACAAAUUAGUUUUAAUUAUGAUUGUUGGAUAAUUGACUCGGGUGCCUCUGAUCACAUGACAAAUAAAGCCUCAAACUUGCAUGAUUUUCAAGUCUUGUCAAAACCAUCUCAUGUGUCAGUUGCAAAUGGAAAAAAUGUCUUAGUCAUGGGAAGAGGAAAACUAGGUUUAGUCUCAAACACCAUAGAGUCUACUACCUUAUACGUACCCUUAUUUCCAUUUCAGUUGAUGUCCGUAGGAUAACUCACUAACACUCUAAAUUGCCUAGCCAUAUUCUCACCCACAAAUGUAAUUUUUCAGGAUGCUCUCACCAAUUUUUGCAAGAAGCCUUUUUUGUCAAAAGCCUUUCAAGUUCAACCAAGCUCUUCCAAGGAUCAACAACUUUGGCACAAAAGGCUAGCCCAUCCAUCUGAAGUUGUUUUGUCAAAACUAUUCCCCAAGUUUUGUCACCCAUUGAUUAAGUGCGAUACUUGUCAUUUCUCAAAGUUUGCUAGGUUACCUUUGGAACCUCAAUGUCUAAGUCUAGCAUACCUUUAAAAACUUGUUCACACCAAUGUAUGGGGUCCUACUACUGAAUCAAUGGAAGGUUACAAAUAUUUUGUCAUAUUUGUGGAUGAUUGUACUCAUGUCACUUUUCUUUAUCUCAUGAAAGCUAAAAGUGAAGUUUCAACUAUCUUUCAAGACUUUCAUUCACUUGUGUCAAACCAAUUCCACUCAACUAUUAAAACACUAAGAUCAGAUAAUGGUAUUGAGUUUUUAUCCAACACCAUGAUUAAAUACUUGAGCUCAAAAGGAAUUGUACAUCAAACUAGUUGUGUGGGAACCCCAUAACAAAAUGGGAUUGCUGAACGGAAAAAUCGAGACCUACUUGAAAAAAACUUGUGCAUUGAUGUUACAUAUGAAUGUUCCAAAGAAGUUUUGGUCAUAUGUAGUCUUGACAGCUACAUACCUCAUCAAUCGACUCCCAAGUCGUAUUCUACGUUUUUAAUCUCCUUGUGAAACUCUAGAAAAAAGGUUUAUCAACAUGUCUCACUUGAAAGUGUUUGGUUGUUCAUGCUUUGUCCAUGUGCAACGUCAACAUCGUGACAAAUUGGAGGCUAGGGCUGCAAAAUGUGUGUUUAUAGGUACUCAUCUACACAAAAGAGGUACAAAUGCUUCAAUCCCCUCACCAACAAGUGUAUUGUCUCCAGAGAUGUCUUUUUUGUUGCAGACACUCUUUUCUUCCAACCACAAAGGCAUGUUCUUGGUGAGGGGGAGUCUUUGCAUGACUUGUUCUUGUUACCUAUGUACACAAAACAAGAUGAUGAUGUUCCAGCAAGACAUGACACUCAACUCAAUGAGGAAUUGCACCAAGUCACAAACCCCUCAAAUCCACAGGUCCUCUCAUAAGAAGACGUUGAGCAUGGCUCUAAAGAUCAAGUUGACAAUGUACAAUUAUCACAGCCAACUCAAGGUGCACGAAGAAAUCCUGCUCGGACAAGAAAGCCUUCAGCGAGGCUAUUGGACUAUGUCACUUAUGCCUCAAGGUACCCUAUCUAUGAUGUACUACAUUACUCAAAGUAUUCGACUUCUCACCGUGCAUUUCUCACUGAAGUCUCUAAGACUGCUGAACCAAGAACAUUCUAAGAAGUUACUUCCUUGCCACAUUGGAAACUAGCUAUGGCUGAAGAGCUAAAUGCAUUGGAAGAAAACAAUACCUGCAGCAUUGUCAAGUUGCCUCCAGGAAAGAAGGCUGUUGGAAGCAGGUGGGUUUACAAAACCAAGCUCAAGGCAAAUGGUUCAAUAGAAAGACAUAAAGCCAGACUUGUGGCUCGUAGCUUCACUCAGACAUUCAAGGUUGAUUACAAGGAAACCUUUGCCACAGUGGCAAAAAUGAAUACUGUUAGGGUAUUACUCUUAAUAGCAAUUAACUGUGGGUGGUCUUUGUACCAAAUGGAUGUAAAAAAUGCCUUUCUCCAUGGAAUACUUCAAGAAGAAGUCUACAUGCAACCCCCACCAGGUUACACUCAAGUGGAAAAAUGAAUGGUUUGUAAGUUACAUAAGGCAAUCUAUGGACUAAAGCAAUCUCCGAGAGCAUGGUAUGCCAAGCUAAGUUUUUUCUUAGAAAAGGCAGGGUUCAUAAGAAGCAAUGUUGAUUCCUUGUUAUUUAUUCGAAGUGGUUCAAGUGGCAAACUUGUGGUUCUCAUCUAUGUUGACGAUCUAAUCAUCACUGGUGACGGUGAGAGUGAAAUCAAAGCCUUGAAACACUCCUUACACCACACCUUUGCCAUCAAAGAUUUGGUAGAUUAAAGUACUUUCUUGGCAUUGAAAUGGCCAAGUCUCACAAAGGGUUGUUUCACAGUCAAAGAAAGUAUGUUGUUGAUUUACUCACUGAGGCUAAGCUCACAGAUUGCAAGCUUGCCACCACACCUAUUGAUAGCAAAAUGAAGAUUGAUUCUACUGGAGAACCUCUCCUUAACAUAAGCUACUACCAAAGAUUGGUUGGUAAGCUUAUCUACCUCACUAUCACACGUCCAGUCACCUAUGUUGUCAGCUUAGUUAGUCAGUUUAUGCAUGCUCCCACAAUGCAACAUCUUCACCUUGUUAAACGUAUUCUUCGUUAUCUCAAAGGUUCAUUGGACAGAGGCAUUCUUAUGUCAAACAAUCAGUCCACAGAAAUUAGUGCUUACAUCGAUGCAGACUAGGCAGGUAGUACAAUUGACAGAAAAUCUACCAUUGGAUAUUGCACUUUGGUUGGGGGGAAACCUUGUGACAUGGAAGAGUAAGAAGCAAACUGUUAUAGCACGAUCUAGUGCUGAAGCGGAGUAUCGAGCAAUGGCAGCCACUGCAUGCGAACUAAUUUAACUUAAAGGCUUGGUUUCAGAUUUAGGGUUCUCACAUCAAGCCCUCAUGUCUCUCAUGUGUGAUAACCAAGCUGCCAUGCACAUUGUAGCUAAUCCUAUUUUUCAUGAAAGAACCAAGCACAUUGAGGUGGACUGCCAUUUCAUCCGAGCUCAAGUUCAAACACAAGUCAUUCAGACUCAAUUCACUUGAAGCCAUGAUCAAUUGGCUGACUUAUUCACUAAGGCUUUACCCUCUUCUCAAUUACACAAGCUCUUGAGCAAGCUUGGCUCGACUACACUUCACGAUCCAGCUUGAGGGGGAGUGUUGGAACCAGUCACACUAAACCCUAGCAUCAUGGAUACACAAGUCAACCGCCAGUUUUCCAGCUCCUUGAUUUAAGGCACUUAACUUGUUGAUUACUUCUUAGUCUUGGAUUUGAUGUAAAUCACCUUAAAUUAAGGAAAAGCUUGUAUCAUAGGUUUAACCGGUCUCUAGGGUUCCAUGUAAAGAUGGUUGCUUGUAACCAUCUGUUUCUCUCACCUAUAUAUACUGCAUUGUACAUUCAGACUUACUUAUGAAAUAGAAAACACUUUGAAACCAAAAAUCUACAUAGAUACUGCAUGAAAAUAAGGAAGAAGAAGAAAAAGCAGUAUCUCCAGCCUUGAAAAUGGGGGUGCUACUAGGAGGAGGAUCACCUGUAAGAAUGAACAGAAAACACGUAUACAAGUUUAAUGCAAUUUGCAAAAGGCGAUGCUUCUGUUGGCCAUAGAAUGAAAUCAGGUGAUAAAAAGCUCUUCCGAUUUGUGCUAUCACUUCAGGAGUUUCAACUGGUGAUGCCACAACUUGAGCAAAUACAUUAACCAAAUCUGGGACUAGCAAAAGGAUCUGCUUGGAAAAUAGAAUGAAUCGGUAAGAAAACUAUGGUCACCUCCAUAAAGAAAAUGGAUAAGAAAACAAGAAAAACAGAAAAGACCAAGUAAGUUCACCUUCUAGGAUUACCCGAUACACAGGGAGCUUCCAUAGAGGGAUCCCACAUAGUUUGUAUGAUUCCGUACACAUAUAUUAUAAAUGUGUGUGUAAAGCAGUGUGAGCUUUGAAGAUGAAAUCAAAGUUCAUAUCUAUAAGCACAAGAAUAUUCAAUCUUCCUAAAUAAUCUACAUGGCACAGAUUCAAUAUUUUGGUCCGGAAGUGGCAAUAAGUUGUUGGGAUCUAAUCCAUUGUCACUCGAACAUAAACCUGCAUGCUCAACCAUAUAUACCAAACACAUGCAGAUGAUGCCAUGAUGGUGAAGGCCUUGAAGUUCACGCCCUUUGACCAACACCCGUAUCGUUAUCUGAUAACUGCAUGUUUAAGGGUCGGUGAGGAGGGUUUCAGAAUUGGAUGAAUUCUUGGAGAGAAAUGGAGAGGUGUUGUGUCGGUUGGGGGUGGGUGGGUGAGGCAGAUGGGAAAAAAUAUUUGUAAUCCUUAAAUAUAAUUUGAUCCUCGCCCGGUGUGCUGAACAAGAUUCGUUCUUCUCCUGCCAAAUAGAGUGGGUCUGAGAAUAUAGUGGUCUCCCUAUUAUAAAGACUACAGGGUUCAUAUAAAAAUUCAAAGCCCCCCAGAUUCCCAUAUAUUGGCUCCUCCACGCACGCCAUUUUGGACUCUAAAAGCAGUGUACGUAUAGUGCUGAAGAAAACAACACGCAGAUGAUGGUGAUCGAUGAACCAACACCCUUACCGUUAUCUGAUAAUUAAUUGCAUGUUUUCACAGUGGCUACUAUUCAUCAUUUUUUUAUAGUAGGGUUGGUGGGGGUUUUUUAAUUGGAUGAAUUAUUGGAGAGAAAUAGAGGGGUUAUGUCAGUAGGCGUGCAACACAAGAGAAAAAAGAUUUACAUGUUUUACUCUACGUACAGAUAUAAUUUGGAUUGGUUGAGAGUAACAUACAGCUUGCCGUUCAAUAUAUAUAUAUAUAUAUAUAUAUAUAUAUAUAUCAUUAAGAGUAGAGCCUCAAAACCUAUCAGUUAGCUAGCUGGUGAGAAGAAAAAGAUGGCUUCCAGGACCCAAACAGCGGCCAAAAUUCCAGUAGUAGAUUUCUCCCAAGAGGAUUGCUGGAAGUCAGGGACAAGUUCUUGGCUCUCAGUACGCAGAGACGUUUGUAAUGCUCUCGAAGAGUUUGCCUGUUUCCUGGCAGUCUUCCCAACAAAGUUUCCCGGGAGCUUAAUGACACCAUGGUUGGGACAUUCAACGAGUUGUUUGAUUUCCCCGACGAAAUUAAAGCACAAUUUCCUCAGGAUAAACCUCUAGUUGAGGGUUACGUAAGGCUGCCUACCCGUGAAUCCAUGUCAUUUCGUUCAAGCACUGAAAAAAUAAAGAACCUCACACGUCAACUUUGGCCGGAAGGAAAUGACCAGUUUCGGUAUAAAUUACUGCACAUUUCAAUAGUUUUAGCAGUUUUUUCUACAUCUAGAUACUUACUGUUAUAUGUUUUGUUAUCAACACUUUUGAUUUCUUUAUCAACAAGCUAAUGCGAAUCUGUCCUUAAACAGUUAUACUUGUUCUUCCUAAUAAUAAUAAUUUGUUCUUUAUAUCUUGGGCAGUGAGAGUGCUGAUCUGUAUUCAAAAGUGAUGACAGAAUUAAAUCAAGUUGUGACAAAAAUGGUAUUUGAAAACUACAAGGUAGAGAAAUACCACGAUGAUCACAUUCAAUCGACCAUGCCCAUUACCCUACUUAUAAAAUAUGAUGAACCCAAGACAGAUGAAACUGAAACUGUUCUACACAAUCAUACAGACAUGUGUUUUACUACCAUACUCCAUCAAGAAUCGUAUGGUGUUGAGAUAAGCACAAAAGAUAACGAGUGGAUUGGUUAUGAUCCUCUGCCUUCAUCAUUAUUAUUCCUAGCAGGUGAUGGACUUCAGGUGCGUCAACACCCUUUCAUUAAUCUUGCUUAGUUUCAUGGAUUUUAGCUCUCACUCUUCAUGGAUAUGUCGUUCACGCAUCCCUUUUGUAGGGCUCAGUUCUCAAUGUGUUUCAACAAUUUAACCAUCUAUCAUCAAGGUCUUCUCUCAAAUAUAUUCUUCUCAAAAAUUACCCAAAUCCGAAAUCAUAUGAUUGUUGGAUUAAAUGAUAGUCAUUUUAGUGUUUCUUUGAAGAACUAUAUUCGUCUUUUUUCUUGAUUACAAUUGGAUCUCUUAAUUGUUUUAGAUUUGCCUAGUUUUUUUUUUACUUUUUUUGGAAAGGAUAAUCUAUAAAUAAUGAAUUAAAAUAUAAAUGAUUCGGAUUGUUAAAAAAAGUUAUGAAAUGGUCAUCACAAGAUGUCAAUUAAAUAAGCUUUAUUUGAGGGAUAACAGAAGUUUAUAUAUAACCUAAGAACUAUUACAUGACGGAAGUUAGCAAUGUAUGUGCCAAAUUAGCAAAACAAUAAGCGGUUAUGUGGCUUCCUAAAAAUGUGAUUAAUCAUUGAUGUAUAUUCAAACUAACCUAAUAAUAGAUUAACUUAAACCAAUUUUAACUCGCAAGCACACGACUCAAUAGUAGUAUAGAUAUGCAAGUACGAGGUCAAUUUUGCAGGAAUUGCGUUAAAACCAUUUAAACCAAUAAUUACACCAAACUUAAUUAUACAAACGAAUUGAAUUUAAGGAUUGAUUAAAACUAAAAUUAACAAGAUAAACUAAACCAAGACAAUGAUGAAUUUUGAAAAUUAAGAUAUGAAGGCACUAGGACAUCAAAUCCACCACUAGUAAUCCAACCUAGCUUCUAUAUUACCUAUCCGUUGAUUAAUUCAAUUGAUGUUGUUGAAUAGUUUUCCUUACGCAUAAACUACCAUUAUGGUAUUUAGGCUCACCCGUAUAUCUCAACACGCACCUUGUCUAUGGCAUUUAGUACAAUUAUGAACGUACAAAAACUCAUUACAUUUUGUGAAAAUCUUGAAAACCAUGCAAACCCUAGGAAGGUUGUUUAGUUACACAUGGUCAAAAUAAUAACAAUAAGUCAUGAAAAAGAACAAAUAGUACACGAAAUAACAACGGUGAUGUGCUCCUAAGCACUCCUUUCUCUUUUUGACAAAUUUGUGUGUAUGGUGACAUGUAGAGAGAUCAUAGGACAUAUAUUUAUACUAAAAAAACACUAAAAGGUCUGGUAAAAACUUUCCUAGAAAAACAAAAUCCAAAACGAUAUUGGACACAAACUAAGAAAGAAUUCUUCUUGACUUGGAGAACAUGUCAUCCAUCUUUCAUGCUAGAUUUGGGGUCAUUCCACCUUCAGUUAUGUAGAAUUCUGAAAAAUAGGAAACUUAUAGCUCUAUGUCUAGGCAUAUAAGGCACGACACUUGAAAAAAUUGGAAAAGCCUUCAAAUCUUCAUUCUCUCAUAGUUGCACAAUUUUAACGAGAAUGUAACUUUUAUGGGAUUGAUUUGUAGAACUGGAAUGUUUGACUUCAUGAAAAAACGUGAAAGUUGAACAUAACUAUCUUAAUCCUCUUAAGCUUCCUUCCGAUUGACUAUAAAAAAAUCUCCGAAAAGUCUAUUUAUGAAAAAAAAUAUAUCAUAAGUUCGCAAAUUGACUAAAUUAAUAAAAAGAAUUAAAAAGACUCUAUAAAGGCCAAUUCCUAACGAAUCCUUAAAAAAUAUGAAUACAUUAUCGGGAGGACAUACUUCUCAUAAAAAAAUAGUCAACCAAAUUCCGACAACAUGAAUAUAUAUACCCUCGAAAAUAACCAUUCUAUUUCCAACGAUAAUAUCGUUUAUCGUUAAGACGAUCGACGCCAAGCGGCAUCAAAUAAAGUACAAUUCAAGCGGCCAUUGGGACUAUUUUUGAAUGCAUUAUGUAUGUCGAAAAAAAAAAAAUUCAUUUCCUACGACUACGAAGUUUUGUUGAAAAUUCUUUCGACACAAGUAACCGACCAAAUCAAACUGAAUUGCGAUAAUUGAUUGAUUGUGAAUAGAAUAUCAUCUAGCUAGCUACGAAAUUCAGUUGAAAAUUAUCCUCAGUAACGGGGCAGAUCAAUCAAGUAUCUUAAUUGACUGUGGAAAGAAUAUCUAGCUAUUAAUAAUUAAACGAAUUAAUUUAUAAAAUAUAUAAAAUAAAAUAAAAACACAUAUUUUCAACAUAAGAAGGGAUUUUGAAUUUUUAUGAACAAGGCAUCAAGAAGCCUAAUUAAGUUCAAGCUCUGUAACCCUUAAAAUAAUAAAAUAUAUGCAGAUUGCAACGAGCAUACGUAGGCCAGUUAUGCUUUUGUAAAUUGGAAAUUACAGAUAAUCUUCCUCCUCACAAACCCUAAAAACGAAAAUUGAAAAGCAAACUAAAAGGACUCCGAAUCUCACCUCGGAGCUUCGUCGAUUGGGCUGGAAUUGGGUUCUUCCCCUUCCCGGAUCCUUGUCCAGCGAGGGACUUGGACUUGGACUUAGCCUUCGCCUUCGACGUGGCUUUGGUUCGGCGGUACAUGGUUUUGUCAGAGAGAGAUUGCAGUUGCACGAGUUCUUUUUUAUUUUGUUUUGUUUUAGUUGGAUUAUAUGGUAUGCUAAACCUUACUUAAAUACUAAACCUUCAAACUGGAAUUUGACUAUAAUACCCUUCAUAUUUAAUUUGAUUAUCUCCGUUUUUUUGUUGGGAAAUUUUAUUUAAACCCAUGCAACUUCUUUUUACACCAAACUUAAAAUUAACUGUCUAUUUUACCCUAUUGUAUAAUUACUAUUAAGUAAAAAAUGAAAUUAAUAAUAAAACUCAAAUUUAUCAAUAAACCCGAACACUAUAAUUAAACCAUACAAUCAUUCUUUGUUUACCCUACGUUCAUUCUAGCUAAAACCCUAAUAGCUCUCAUAAAGAAAAAUAAGUUUUUCUACUGAUGGAUGGUGAUUUUGAAGGUUUGAAUCCUCCAACCAAGAUAUGACUCAAUUUAUGAAUUUUUUAUUCGUUCAAUUUCAAUUUUUUAGAGUUUAGAAGAUGAGUAUUUUGGUUAUAAUUUUUUUUCAAUCAAAAUUUCAAUCAAUCAUUCAUAGUUUGUUUAUCUUUUUGCAACAGUAAAUUGAUGCAAUCGGUUUCCCACUACACCCCAAAAAUCUUACUGAUAUUGCAAGAACCUUGAAUUCCGUUUGGUUCUUAUGUUCCACCACUCUUGCUACCUUAUUGCUGCUCUUUUCUGCCUCCUCCAUCACAAUGCCAAGCUUCACGAGAGCCUCUCGUUUUGCACACCUUGCAGCUUCUACUUCCGCCUCUACCUCAUUGUUAACUUUACUUUGGCUUUUGUUGAUUUCCAACCUGAGUGUUUCAUACUCUGCAGUUUUGUUUCCUUGUCCAUCAAAUGAGCCUUUAAAUCCGUAACAUGCCCUUUUACUUCUUUAAAUUCCUUUUCCAAUUCAUACUCUCUCUGGCAUGACAGGCUUUUUUCAAGCUUUGAAUUGAGCCCCUUGUUUAUUGAAAUUAGCUAGUGUCUUGGACGAAUGCGCCUCAUAAGCACAAGUUACUUAAACCAAAUUCAUUCAAUUUACAGAGGUGUAAAAUUAUCCCAAGAAUUUUUCACUCCGCCAGGGCGACUUUCUUCCACAGCAAUAACCGAAGGCAUUAACUUCCCAAAGAUAUUUGUUAGCAAAUGCAAAUUAAUGAGCGAUUUGGGGGAGGGAUUAGAGUAGUGGACACCCGAAAAUGUUGUACAAGCAUCAUGAAGCAUUUCUCGUGCAUCAGUGACCAGGAGAUACUGGGGCAGCUUCAAUGGGUGUAAAAAUAAAUCCACAUAUUGAAUUGGGUUUAUGGGGGUAUAUUAGGUAUUAAAUUUGGGUUUAAAGAGAUAUUAAUAGUUUAGUUAAAAAUUAAAUGGGUGGAAAUAGUAAGUUGGGUGUAAAAAGAGGUUGCAUGGGUUUAAAUAAAAUUUUCCUUUUUUGUUUCCUUUUUAGUCUAAUGCGGCCCUAACUCUCCAUUAUUUGUGUGGGCUGGGCUAAUAACAAAGAUAAAUUAACAUUUAACGAACGAGUGAAGCUUGAAUCAACUUGGAAUUGUUACGAGAUUUACUAACAAAUUUCAAACGUGUCUUGCAAAGAUGACCAUGAAUGCAGCAUCUGCAUAAUUAAAAUUUGAACUCUGAAAGGUAAUUGAGUGCUGGAAAGUAGCUGAAGUUUCAUAGACAUUAUCCCCCACCAGAGUUAACGUGUGCCCCAAGCAACCAUUACACACGGACUCAAAACUAACAAUUGACACAAAAGAAAGAGAACGUCUAGAUAAACACCUACAACCAGUGCCGGCCCUGAGUGGGUGCAAUAGGUGCCACCGCACAGGGCCCCUAAAUCAGAAGCGCCCCUGAUUUUUCAAAUUUGCAUGCAUUUACAUAAAAUAAAAAAAAAUAUAUAUAUAUAGUAGCAUGUGUAUAAUAUUACAAACUUGAGUCUUAGCACAAGUGGUAUUACCACUUCUUUACAGUGGCCUAGGAUAUGGGUUCAAAACUCGUCUCCAUCAUCUUUUUAUAAUAUUUAGUCUAAUUUACAUCAAGUAACUCAACUAAGAAUCUUUAUGGUAGCUAAGCGUCAAGAUAAUAAGCACGGUGAUUAAGAAUCCCAUAUUAAAAGGCAAUCGUAAGACAGGCAAAAUAAGAAAACUAGAUUAUCAUAUUAGGGUUUCAUCAUUGCCUAGCAAGGGUGUUUAGUUACACAUAGUCAAAUUAAUAACAAUAAGUCAUGAAAUAACAACGGUGAUGUGUUCCUAAGCACCCCUUUCUCUUUUGGGCAAAUUUGUGUGUAUGGUGACAUGUAGAGAGAUCAUAGGACAUAUAUUUAUACUAAAAAAACACUAAAAGGUCUGGUAAAAGCCCUCCUAGAAAAACAAAAUCCAAAACGAUAUUGGACACAAACUAAGAAAGAAUUCUUCUUGACUUGGAGAUCAUGUGAUCCAUCUUUCAUGCUAGAUUUGGGGUCGUUCCAGCUUCAUUUAUGUGGAAUUCUGAAAAAUAGGAAACUUAUAGUUCUAUGUCUAGGCAUAUAAGGCGCGACACUUGAAAAAAUUAGAAAAGCCUUCAAAUCUUCAUUCUCCCCUAGUUGCACAAUUUUACUGAGAAUGUAACUUUUACGGGAUUGAUUUGCAAAACUAGAAAGUUUGACUUCAUGAAAAAAAUGAGAAAGUUGAACACAACUAUCUUAAUCCUCUUAGCUUCCUUCCAAUUGACUAUAAAAAAUUCUCCGAUAAGUCUAUUUAUGAAGAAACAAAUAUCAUAAGUGCACAAAUUGACUAAAUUAAUAAAAAGAAUUUAAAAGACUCUAUAAAGACCAAUUCCUAACGAAUCCUUAAAAAAUAUGAAGGCAUUAUCGGGAGGACAUACUUCUCAUAAAAAAAUAAUCAACCAAAUUCCGACAACAUGAAUAUAUAUACCCUCGAAAAUAACCAUUCUAUUUCCAACGAUAAUAUCAUUUAUCGUUAAGACGAUCGGGGCCAAGCCUUCCUACCAAAUAAAGUACAAUUCAAGCGGCCAUUGGGACUAUUUUUUAAUGCAUUAUGUGUGUCGAAAAAACAAUUCAUUUCAUUUGACAUGUUUUUUUCUUGUAGUGUAAGGCAAUGUAAGUUUCAAGAACAAAGGGACAGAUGAAAUGUGUUUAACAACCUAACUUAAACUUUUGAUAACUAUAUUUUAUUGAUGUUGUUUGCAUGCGUCGUUUAUUUGGCCUAGGUUUGGAGUAACGACAGAAUAAAAUCUUGUAUGCACAGAGUCGUUUUGAAGGAAAAUAAGGUAAGAUACUCGUUCGGACAAUUCUUUUGGAACAAAGGAGUGAUAUAUGUACCAAACGAGCUUACGGACGAGGACCACCCCAUGCAGUAUAAGCCAAUAGACCUAGUGGAAUAUCUUCAAUAUUUCCAUGAAAAUAUGUCCACCGUGGGAUUUGAUUUUUCGGUCAAGGACUAUUGUGGGAAACAUGACGCCACAAGCAUGAGUUUGAAAGGUGGUGUUGGAAAAUAAUAACGGAAAGUUUCACGUACUUAGAUUCACCUGUUCUUGUGAGUUUAGCCUUUGCUUAUUCAAUAAGAUGUGUAUCUUGUUCUCUAUAAAUACUUCCAUACGAAGUUUAUCGGAGUUGAACCGAGGUUGUAUUCGUAUCAAACAAUUAUACUUUGGUAUGCAUGAUUCUUGCUAUGCUGUGCUGUGUUGUUUCCAAAUGGAAUCAAUCCAAAAGCCUGUUGUUUCAAAGGAUAUGGUGCUCACAUUCCUUAUGAAAUAGAAAACACUUUGAAACCAAAAAUCUACAUAGAUACUGCAUGAAAAUAAGGAAGAAGAAGAAAAAGCAGUAUCUCCAGCCUUGAAAAUGGAGGUGCUACUAGGAGGAGGAUCACCUGUGAGAAUGAACAGAAAACACGUAUACAAGGUUAAGGCAAUUUGCAAAAUAAGCUUCGUAGCCUCUUGGGGCAUUUGCUAAUUUUCUCACCCUAGGUCGUAGGCAUACCUUAUAGAAUAGAACGAUGUCCUCCUCCAAGACUUCAGCCAACCCAUCUAUGAAACAUGGGAACAAUACACCGCGGUCUUUGAAUUGGAAAAGAAUCUCAGCAAAAAAAGCGGGUAGAAACUAUUGGUGAAGAAUCACAAUCCACAGGCUCAAUCGACCAGCUUCCUGGAGCAAAGGCAAGUCACAGGCUCAUCCUGAAUCAGCUUUUCGGGACAAAUGCGGCUAGGGCAUUUGCAUAAGCAGGGGAGAGGUUACUCAAAAGGCCCUGCAUCUGUUGGCCAUAGAAUGAAAUCAGGUGAGAAAAAGCUCUUCCGAUUUGUGCUUUUACUUCAGGAGUUUCAACUGGUGAUGCCACAACUUGAGCAAAUACAUUAACCAAAUCUGGGACUAGCAAAAGGAUCUGCUUGGAAAAUAGAAUGAAUCGGUAAGAAAACUAUGGUCACCUCCAUAAAGAAAAUGGAUAAGAAAACAAGAAAAACAAAAAAGACCAAGUAAGUUCACCUUCUAGGAUUACCCGAUACACAGGGAGCUUCCAUAGAGGGAUCCCGCAUAGUUUGUAUGAUUCCGUACACAUAUAUUAUAAAUGUGUGUGUGUGUGUGUGUGUAAAGCAGUGUGAGCUUUGAAGAUGAAAUCAAAGUUCAUAUCUAUAAGCACAAGAACAUUCAAUCUUCCUAAAUAAUCUACAUGGCACAGAUUCAAUAUUUUGGUCCGGAUGUGGCAAUAAGUUGUUGGGAUCUAAUCCAUUGUCACUCGAACAUAAACCUGCAUGCUCAACCAUAUAUACCAAACACAUGCAGAUGAUGCCAUGAUGGUGAAGGCCUUGAAGUUCACGCCCUUUGAUCAACACCCGUAUCGUUAUCUGAUAACUGCAUGUUUAAGGGUCGGUGAGGAGGUUUUCAGAAUUGGAUGAAUUCUUGGAGAGAAAUGGAGAGGUGUUGUGUCGGUUGGGGGUGGGUGGGUGAGGCAGAUGGGAAAAAAUAUUUGUAAUCUUUAAAUAUCAUUUGAUCCUCGCCCGGUGUGCUGAACAAGAUUCGUUCUUCUCCUGCCAAAUAGAGUGGGUCUGAGAAUAUAGUGGUCUCCCUAUUAUAAAAACUACAGGGUUCAUAUAAAAAUUCAAAGCCCCCCAGAUUCCCAUAUAUUGGCUCCGCCACUCACGCCAUUUUGGACUCUAAAAGCAGUGUACGUAUAGUGCUGAAGAAAACAACACGCAGAUGACGGUGAUCGAUGAACCAACACCCUUACCGUUAUCUGAUAAUUAAUUGCAUGUUUUCACAGUGGCUACUAUUCAUCAUUUUUUUAUAGUAGGGUUGGUGGGGGUUUUUGAAUUGGAUGAAUUAUUGGAGAGAAAUAGAAGGGUUAUGUCAGUAGGCGUGCAACACAAGAGAAAAAAGAUUUACAUGUUUUACUCUACGUACAGAUAUAAUUUGGAUUGGUUGAGAGUAACAUACAGCUUGCCGUUCAAUAUAUAUAUAUAUAUAUAUAUCAUUAAGAGUAGAGCCUCAAAACCUAUCAGUUAGCUAGCUGGUGAGAAGAAAAAGAUGGCUUCCAGGACCCAAACAGCGACCAAAAUUCCAGUAGUAGAUUUCUCCCAAGAGGAUUGCUGGAAGUCAGGGACAAGUUCUUGGCUCUCAGUACGCAGAGACGUUUGUAAUGCUCUCGAAGAGUUUGCCUGUUUCCUGGCAGUCCUUCCCAACAAAGUUUCCCGGGAGCUUAAUGACACCAUGUUUGGGACAUUCAACGAGUUGUUUGAUUUCCCCGACGAAAUUAAAGCACAAUUUCCUCAGGAUAAACCUCUAGUUGAGGGUUACGUAAGGCUACCUACCCGUGAAUCCAUGUCAUUUCGUUCAAGCACUGAAAAAAUAAAGAACGUCACACGUCAACUUUGGCCGGAAGGAAAUGACCAGUUUCGGUAUAAAUUACUGCACAUUUCAAUAGUUUUAGCAGUUUUUUCUACAUCUUGAUACUUACUGCUAUGUGUUUUGUUAUCAACACUUUUGAUUUCUUUAUCAACAAGCUAAUGCGAAUCUGUCCUUAAACGGUUAUACUUGUUCUUCCUAAUAAUAAUAAUUUGUUCUUUAUAUCUUGGGCAGUGAGAGUGCUGAUCUGUAUUCAAAAGUGAUGACAGAAUUAAAUCAAGUUGUGACAAAAAUGGUAUUUGAAAACUACAACGUAGAGAAAUACCACGAUGAUCACAUCCAAUCGACCAUGCCCAUUACCCUACUUAUAAAAUAUGAUGAACCCAAGACAAAUGAAACUGAAACUGUUCUACACAAUCAUACAGACAAGUGUUUUACUACCAUACUCCAUCAAGAAUCGUAUGGUGUUGAGAUAAGCACAAAAGAUAACGAGUGGAUUGGUUAUGAUCCUCUGCCUUCAUCAUUAUUAUUCCUAGCAGGUGAUGGACUUCAGGUGCGUCAACACCCUUUCAUUAAUCUUGCUUUAGUUUCAUGGAUUUUAGCUCUCUCUUCAUGGAUAUGUCGUUCAGGCAUCCUUUUUGUAGGGCUCAGUUCUCAAUGUGUUUCAACAAUUUAACCAUCUAUCAUUAAGGUCUUCUCUCAAAUAUAUUCUUCUAAAAAAUUAUCCAAAUCCAAAAUCAUAUAAUCGUUGGAUUAAAUGAUAGUCAUUUUAGUUUUUCCUUUGAAGAACUAUAUUCGUCUUUUUCUUGACUACAAUUGGAUCUCUUAAUUGUUUUAGAUUUGCCUAGUUUUUUUUUACUUUUAUUGGAAAGGAUAAUCUAUGAAUAAUGAAUUAAAAUAUAAAUGAUUCGGAUUGUUAAAAGAAAGUUAUGAAAUGGUCAUCACAAGAUGUCAAUCAAAUAAGCUUUAUUUGAGGGAUAACAGAAGUUUAUAUAUAACCUAAGAACUAUUACAUGACGGAAGUUAGCAAAUGUAUGUGCCAAAUUAGCAAAACAAUAAGCGGUUAUGUGGCUUCUCUAAAAAUGUGAUUAAUCAUUGAUGUAUAUUCAAACUAACCUAAUAAUAGAUUAACUUAAACCAAUAUUAACUCGCAAGCACACGACUCAAUAGUGGUAUAGAUAUGCAAGUACGAGGUCAAUUUUGCAGGAAUUGCCUUAAAACCAUUUAAACCAAUAAUUACGCCAAACUUAAUUAUACAAACGAAUUGAAUUUAAGGAUUGAUUAAAACUAAAAUUAACAAGAUAAACUAAACCAAGACAAUGAUGAAUUUUGGAAAUUAAGAUACGAAAGCACUAGGACAUCAAAUCCACCACUAGUAAUCCAACCUAGCUUCUAUAUUACCUAUCCGUUGAUUAAUUCAAUUGAUGUUGUUGAAUAGUUUUCCUUACGCAUAAACUACCAAUAUGGUAUUUAGGCUCACCCGUAUAUCUCUACAUGCAACUUGUCUAUGGCAUUUAGUACAAUUAUGAACGUACAAAAACUCAUUACGUUUUGUGAAAAUCUUGAAAACCAUGCAAACACUAGGAAUACGGUGUUUACCCUAAAAGAAUUACAACCCUUAACCACAAGAAGCAAGCCUCAAAUUAGCUAUAGUAUUUAGUCUAAUUUACAUCAACUAACUCAAUUAAGAAUCUUGAUGGUAGCUAAGAGUCAAGAUAAUAAGCACGCUGAUUAAGAAUCCCAUAUUAAAGGGCAAUCGUAAGAUGGGCAAAAUAAGAAAACUAGAUCAUCUUAUUAGGGUUUCAUCAUUGCCUAGCAAGGGUGUUUAGUUACACAUGGUCAAAAUAAUAACAAUAAGUCAUGAAAAAGAACAAAUAGUACACGAAAAAACAACGGUGAUGUGCUCCUAAGCACUCCUUUCUCUUUUUGACAAAUUUGUGCGUAUGGUGACAUGUAGAGAGAUCAUAGGACAUAUAUUUAUACUAAAAAAACACUAAAAGGUCUGGUAAAAACUCUCCUAGAAAAACAAAAUCCAAAACGAUAUUGGACACAAACUAAGAAACAAUUCCAUCUUUCAUGUUAGAUUUCGGGUCAUUCCACCUUCAGUUAUGUAGAAUUCUGAAAAAUAGGAAACUUAUAGCUCUAUGUCUAGGCAUAUAAGGCAAAACACUUGAAAAAUUGGAAAAGCCUUCAAAUCUUCAUUCUCCCAUAGUUGCACAAUUUUAACGAGAAUGUAACUUUUACGGGAUUGAUUUGCAGAACUGGAAUGUUUGACUUCAUGAAAAAACGUGAAAGUUGAACACAACUAUCUUAAUCCUCUUAAGCUUCCUUCCAAUUGACUAUAAAAAAAUCUCCGAAAAGUCUAUUUAUGAAAAAAAAAAUAUCAUAAGUUCACAAAUUGACUAAAUUAAUAAAAAGAAUUAAAAAGACUAUAAAGGCCAAUUCCUAACGAAUCCUUAAAAAAUAUGAAGGCAUUAUCGGGAGGACAUACUUCUCAUAAAAAAAUAGUCAACCAAAUUCCAACAGCAUGAAUAUAUAUACCCUCGAAAAUAACCAUUCUAUUUCCAACGACAAUAUCGUUUAUUGUUAAGACGAUCAGGGCCAAGCCUUCCUACCAAAUAAAGUACAAUUCAAGCGGCCAUUGGGACUAUUUUUUAAUGCAUUAUGUGUGUCGAAAAAACAAUUCAUUUCAUUUGACAUGUUUUUUUCUUGUAGUGUAAGGCAAUGUAAGUUUCAAGAACAAAGGGACAGAUGAAAUGUGUUUAACAACCUAACUUAAACUUUUGAUAACUAUAUUUUAUUGAUGUUGUUUGCAUGCGUCGUUUAUUUGGCCUAGGUUUGGAGUAACGACAGAAUAAAAUCUUGUAUGCACAGAGUCGUUUUGAAGGAAAAUAAGGUAAGAUACUCGUUCGGACAAUUCUUUUGGAACAAAGGAGUGAUGUAUGUACCAAAUGAGCUUACGGACGAGGACCACCCCAUGCAGUAUAAGCCAAUAGACCUAGUGGAAUAUCUUCAAUAUUAUCAUGAAAAUAUGUCCACCGUGGGAUUUGAUUUUUCGGUCAAGGACUAUUGUGGGAAGCAUGACGCCACAAGCAUGAGUUUGAAAGGUGGUGUUGGAAAAUAAUAACGGAAAGUUUCAUUUCACGUACUUGGUUUCACUUGUUCUUGUGAGUUUAGCCUUUGCUUAUUCAAUAAGAUGUGUAUCUUGUUCUCCAUAAAUACAUCCAUACGAAGUUUAUCGGAGUUGAACCGAGGUUGUAUUCGUAUCAAAUAAUUAUACUUUGGUAUGCAUGAUAAUUGCUAUGCUGUGCUGUGUUGUUUCCAAAUGGAAUCAAUCCAAAAGCCUGUUGUUUCAAAGGAGAUGGUGCUCACAUUCCCUCUAUCUCAAACUGUCUACACAACAUAACAACGAUUUAGUAUGGAAAGUGAUUUUUGCACGCCAUUUUCAAUUCUCGCACAUCCUUUAUUUGUUUCUAACCAUUGGGUUGAACAAAUAGGAGAACCGGGAGCUAAAAUUUAGAGGGGCGUGCAAAAAUUACUCCCCUUUCGGAUUCUGUCAACAUGGCUUAGUUGUCGCUCCAAUCGACUCUAGUUACUAACCAUGGAAAAACAUAAAUUAACCAUACUCAAGUCCAAACUGAAAAUUAGUACAUAUCAAAACACAUUUCUUAAAUAACACAAAAGUAACCUUGUUACUAUGACUGCCGAAAAUCGAAAGCGCCAAUUUUACCGUUGGCAAUUUGAUUCUGCAAGCAAUAACUUAUAGACAACGCUGCGUUGAUAUACUAUGGGUAUGCAUCAUCUUCACUAAUUCUGUGAGGGGAAAGGCGAAAUUUUCAAACCUAUGGAAACCUGACAGCGGACAACCAUGAUACUCAAACAAAUAAUAAAAUCACGCACAUAAAAGUAUCAAAGAAUGCACACGAACGCUCAACGCAGACCGGAUAAUGGAAAGAAGAUUCGGGGGGAAAAAGAUACCACAGGAAAAUAAGGAAGAAGAAGAAAAAGCAGUAUCACCAGCCUUGAAAAAUGGAGAUGGUAAUAGGAGGAGGAUCACCUGUAAGAAUGAACAAAAACACGUAUAGAAGGUUAAUGCAAUUUGCAAAUUAGGCUUCAAAGCCUCAUAGGGCAUUUGCUACUUUUCUCACCCUAGGUCGCAGGCAUUACCUUAUAGAACGAUGUCCUCCUCCAAGAUUUCAGCCAACCCAUCUAUAAAACAUGGGAACAACACACCACGGUUGAAAAGAAUCUCAGCAAGAAAGGCGGGUAGAAACUAUUGGUGAGGAAUCACAAUCCACAGGCUCAAUCGAACAGCUUCCUGGAGCAAAUGCAACGAGAAGGCAAGUCACUGGCCCACCCCGAAUCAGCUUUUCGGGACAAAUGCGGCUAGGGCAUUUGCAUAAGCAGGGGAGAGGUUACUCAAAAGGGGCUGCAUUUGUUGGCCAUAGAGUGAAAUCAGGUGAGCAAAAGCUCUUCCGAUUUGUGCUUUUACUUCAGAAGUUUCAACUGGUGAUGCCACAACUUGAGCAAAUACAUUAACCAAAUCUGGGACUAGAAAAAGGAUCUGCUUGGAAAAUAGAAUGAGUGGGUAAGAAAACUUAUGGUCAACUCCGUAAAGAAAAAGGAUAAGAAAACAAGAAAAACAGAAAAGACCAAGUAAGUUCACCUUCUAGGAUUACCCGAUACACAGGGAGCUUCCAAAUAGGGAUCCCACAUAGUUUGUAUAAUAUACGUACACAUAUAUUAUAAAUGUGUGUGUGUGUGUGUAAAUGAUACAUAUCUUAUCAUUUUAAUCUACACAAGUUUCAGACUGAAAUCAUGGAGCUGUGAACUAACCUGGGCAUUAGAUGAUAAAACAAGAGUAGAGACGCAACUAUACACCGUCAUGGACUCUUCACGAUCUUCUUUUAGUGGAAGAACCUUCAAGAAAACAGGAAGUACCUGCAAAUUUAACAAGGAGAUAUAUACUUAAGCUCACCAAAAUGAAACCAAAAUGAUGGAAAAAUGAUAAUACUAAGCCAGAAAAUGUCAUCAGGACACUUACCUGAUUCAAUGGGAUAGAUUCAGGGUGCACCAUUAUCAUUCUUGCCACUGCUCCAGCUGCGUUAUCCCUGACAGCAUCAUCUGGCUCAGAUUCCCCAAAUAGUGGGUAAAGUCCACGCAAUAUGUCACCAUAGUAUCUGGGAAUUGAUUAAAGAACACGCUAGUGGAAGGCACAUUCUAGGUUUCAAUGCCAAACUAACUUCUACAAACAACAUAAUUAUAAAGAUGAUUCAUCACAAAUCCUGUAAUACCUGAACUCAGAACACGAAUGAGAGGAUCAUGAAAAUUCCGAAGAAAAUAAUCAGGAACAAGGAAAAGACACUAAAAAUCAUAACAUAAAAAAAGGAUAUUCAAAGAUUGUUAUUGUUUUUCAGUAUGCAGUGUCACUACAGAUGGAACUAUUGAGCGGGAAGGCCCUUUUGGUUUCAUUAGAACAUGUCUUUUCAACAUGUUGGAGGCUCGUGAGAAGAAAUUAUUUUUUAUCUAUCACCAAAGACUCAAGGGAUCAAAUUUUGGCAGAUUUGUAGUUGAAAACAUUCCGUAAGUUCAUAUAUGGCUUUAUUUAAUUUAUACAUAGAAAAGGCGGUUUAUUUAUUUAUGUAUUUAUCUCGUUGAACUUUUAUGUGGUUUUAGGAUUGGGUAUGAAAAGGUGGAGCAAAACGGACAUCGUGUGGCUUUUUUGCAAGGAAACUUUUGUCUGCAUCACUUGACCUUGAAGGAAGCAGAAGAUGUUGAUACACUUUUUGACUCUGCUAAUUUAGUUACUGAAUGUCCAGACUUUAGUACUGACGCGUUUCUUUUGAAAAGUUUUACACUUAAUAUGACAAAGUUGAAGAGUAACAAAAGAAAGAGAAGGGGGAAUUUUGUGGGAUUUGAGUCAGCCAAGUUCUCAUACUACGAAGUCGCAAUGUUCGAAGACUACGAAGUGAUUUAUAUAGGAAGGCCCACGGAAGACUUUUUGAAAUCUUUGAAACAAACUAUCAUAGAAAACAUCCACCAGUACAAGCAAAGCAAAUUAUUUUACCGUUAAACUUGAUUAUCAUGAGGAUUCUCCCCUUUAAAAAGUGUGAUCGUUUCUUUCAAAGAUUUCAAAAAGUCUUCCGUGGGCCUUCCUAUAUAAAUCAAUUCGUAGUCUUCGAACGUUGCGACUUCGUAGUAUGAGAACUUGGCUGACUCAAAUCCCACUAAAUUCCCCUUUCUCUUUCUCUUGUUUCUCUUCAACUUUGUCAUAUUAAGUGUAAAACUUUUCAAAUAAACUCGUCAGUACUAAAGUCUGGACGUUCAGUAACUAAAUUAAUAGAGUCAAAAAAUGUAUCAACAUCUUCUGCUUCCUUCAAGGUCAAGUGAUGCAGACAAAAGUUUCCUUGCAACAAAGCCACACGAUGUCCGUUUUGCUCCACUUUUCAUACCCAAUCCUAAAACCACAUAAAAGUUCAACGAGAUAAAUACAUAAAUAAAUAAAACGUUUUUUCUAUGUAUAAAUUAAAUAAAGCCAUAUAUGAACUUACGGAAUGUUUUCAACUACAAAUCUGCCAAAAUUUGAUCCCUCGAGUCUUUGGUGAUAGAUAAAAAAUAAUGUCUUCUCACAAGCCUCCAACAUGUUGAAAAAGUCGAGACAUGUUCUAAUGAAACCAAAAGGGCCUUCCCACUCAAUAGUUCCAUCUGUAGUGACACUGCAUAAUGAAACCAAAAGGGCCUCCCCACACAUUGCAACAAUUCCAACAAAUUCAGUAGCUCUUGCUCGUGAACGAAGAUCCUCAUCAUUACUAAGCACCAAGAAACUUUUCAUCAACUCCAAAACCCUUUCAGCAUACGGAACGAAUGCCUGCUCUGCCGCAGAUGCCACCGAACCAAUCGCAGACUGCAAAAUGAUGCAAAUCAAUAAAUUUAAAACCAAACCAUUCACUGAAUAUAUAUAUAUAUACACACACACACAUAUAUAAAAUUAAUUUACUUUAAAUCUUUAGGUCAAAGAAGACCACCAUACCAUGCAUGUCUCCUGUAAAUUACGAGGGCUAUUAUGGAGGGCCCCCAGUAGUUUUCCCAUCAACGGAUCAAGGAAUGGAAGAAUUUCCUCACCCAUGUUGUCACAAAAUGCUGCCAAAGCAUAAUACGACUUCUCCUGCACAUAAAGAUUGUUUUAGUCAUUAUCAAAUACAUAUGAAUAAACUAUACCAAUCUUCUAAUUUCCUUCUACCAAACAUACCUUCACUUCGUCAGAUGCAUCCUCAAGGGCAUUCAAAAUGCAAGGAAGUACACUUUGAUAGUGGGAAACAAUUUCCGGCUGCAAAUGCUCUGCAAACUGACCCAAUGCAAAUGAUGCAGCCCCCCUAACCAUUUCCUCAGGAUCUCUCAGAGCGCCUAAGACAAUAUGAAGAACUGGAUCCAACUUAUCUUUUAUCAUCUCCAAACAACCCUCUGAAUUACACCUAAAGCGGUAACAGAUGCUUCCUGAUAUUUUGGAUUUGCAUUUUUACUGCUUAAAGAAGAAAAUUCAAAGAUAGGGUGGAAAACAUGCUUUGGUAUGUUCAAAGCCAUAGUAUCAAUAACUUCUGCAGCAGCUCGAUCUGGAGCAAGAUCAUCAUCCUUAUCUUCAUCAUUUGAUUCUGCAAGCAAUGGGCACAUAACUUGCAGAAUAGGGAUGACCAGCUUAUGCUUUUUGAGGGAAUUGGAUUUAUACUUUGCUAGCCAUGAAACUAUCUGAAUUGCCUGAAAAGCAACAAGAAGAACAAAUAUGAGGAGUAUUCACAAACAGAGAGCCUUUGUUUAUUACAAAGCAGAUAAGUUAACUUACAGGCAAGCUUAUUGGGACCCAACAGUUUACCGAUGGACCCAACUUUGUUUUUCAUUUUUUUCUUUUUUGCCACUUCACCUUUCCAUUUUUCACUCGUUUAAAAUUUAAAAAAGAAAAACUGAGAAGCACAAAAGCCACAGCAGCUCCACCUUCCGUCAGUGUCUGUAACAGCUGUGCUGCCGGAAAAUUGCCCCCUCCUCUCUCUCUCUCUCUCUUCAUUUCCCUCUUCUCUCCUACCCUCUCUGUAUGCAACUAUCAAAUCCGACCAGCCCGGCCCCCAGAUCGCGGGUCAAAACCCUAGGCUGCAACAACCCAAAAUCACAAUACAAUGCUACAGAUCCCCACAUACAACUGAUAGAGCUGACAGGAAUAAGCACCCCAAGCAACAGAGAGAGCACAAAAUCCAGUAAACUGGAUCUGCAAGAGCUGGUUAGCAUCAUAUGUGAGGGGCAGAGUUGCGCGGUUUGCAGAGAGAGGGGAAAGAGAGAGAAAGAGAAAUAGUAAGCGGGUGGGAGCUACUAUGGUUUUCAGUUGUCUCAGUAUUUCUUUUUUGUAUCUUGAAGGCCAAAAUAUAAAAAGGUCGUACCCAGUGCACAAGGCUCCCGCUUUACGCAGGGUCUGGGAGAGGUGAAGUGGCAAAAAAAUUGAGUCUCAAACAAGAACUGUUAGGUCCAGUCCCAAACUUAUCAGCCCAACCAAAGACUAGGAGCUCAUAGAGAAAAGGCGAGGAAACUUUUGACCGUAUAUACUAACCUGAUGACGUGUAUUAGAUUCUAAACUUUGAGUUGAAAAAACUUCAAAGAGAGAAUUGCACAAUGGAUUUAACAGAUUCACCAAGAAGAGGUGCUGGAGAUUCAAUCAACUCAUCAAAAAUUUCAAAAGCAAUAAUAGCAACAUCCUCCUCGCCAGCUGCAAGGCAUUGUCUUGAUACAUUUAAGAUGCUAGGUAUGAAUUCCCGAAAUUUCACCUAGAUUGGUAUGAAUAAGAUAAAUGCCAACAAAAAUAAACUAAUUAGUUACAACGUAAGAAAUUUGGGAGAAAUGUAAAAUAACACUAAAAACGAAAUGCCUGUUUGGCAUGCUUGACAUCAGAUUACUUGGAAUACAAUGCCAAAGUAAUAAGAUUGUCAUAUUCGGUCAAUUAGACUUGGGCUCUUAUGUUGGUAUAUUUCAGAACUUUGAUUAGCGUGGUCACUGCUUGGUGUUCAAAUUAAUCCAAUUUACAAUUGACUAUCACCUGUGGUUUUGAUGAGAGAGUAAUUUUCUCUUGUGAAAAUUUUAUUCUGAAAUGCUAUUUUUCAUCAACCAUAGAGCACAUAGCAAGCCAUGAUCAGAUCCCAUGAAAUUGAAGCAUUAGGUAUGUUUAAAGAUGUAACAGCCAAUGAAUAUAUAUGAUCAUAUGCACUAGAAAAAAAAAUACAUCAAAGGAAAAAUAACCAUAGGUCUGAUGUGUCUGUCAAAUACAUAACAGUUGAGUGUAAUGUAAGAGAAAUGAAUAUAUGCGCUAAACCAAAUUUUUUCUCACCACAACCAAUCAAGAGCAUGUUCCAUCAUACCAAGAGAAGACUGAAUUUAUUUGUUCAUUUUUCUCAACCAAGAAAUAGAAACUCUUGUUGUUACGGUGAUGGAACCUUAUAAAUAAUACAAUAGUUGCUUUACUUUAUAUUUCAAAAGGCUCAUCUGUUGAGUGGUCUUUGUGCUUGAAUUUCCUUUUCUUUCAUUCUUUAAAUAGAAUGCAUUGUGCUAUCAUUCUGAAUAGUAAACACAUAGUAAUUUAUGGGAAAUUUACAUCUUCAACAUCAUUUUAGGUUAUCCAACUUACCCAAGUAUUAAGGAUAAAACAGAAUACUGAAGAACAUAUUGCUAAUAAAAGAAUUUAUUAAUGAUAAUUUAGUUUCAUUUUUGAUAUCAUUUUUUAUAUAAAUACAAACUCACCACUUCAACCCCAUCAUGAGUGAAUUCCAGAAAAGACCCUACGGCCCUGGCACAAUAAUUAAAAGAUUCAAUUAAGAAAAUACAAGCUAAUCACUUGUUAGCAAAAGAAGCAUAAAAUAUCAAAACUAUGAAUGGAUAAAUACUAAGCAUUACUUGAGCGCAGCAACUCUGACACAGUUGCUUGUCUCAUCCUGCAGGCAUUGAGCUUGCAAAUCUGCGAAAUGUGGCCAAAACGUAUUCCCUAUUGUUUCAGUCAAAGAGCUGAACAGGAUCAAUGCCACCUUAUUCCAACAAAGCAAAACCAACCAUAUAAAUCAGUAUAUUGAAUAUGAACUACAUAACAGCAUGAACAAGAGUGUGCAUUAACUAUUGAAUGAUGUGGAAUGCCCAAUUCCAAAAACAAAUUUUGUCUCCGGUAAACAAUAUUUUGUAGAAUACAGUCUCGCCAACAAAAGAGUUUGGUUGAACAUGCUUCAAGAAUUUUCCUAGAAAAUCCUUUUGCCACUUUUUAUUUUUUUACUUUUGAGAAAGAAAUGAAAUUUCAUUGCAAAUGAUGAUGAAAUUACAAAAGUGAACAAGAUGUUCACAAAGUAAAAACAAAGCCAAAAAAAGAACAAUCAGUGAAACAACAGAAGAAAUCCCCCUAAAAAGCAGCUACGAAAACUCCAUAAAGCUUUAUCCCACUAAGUGGGGUUAGUUGUAUAAAUCCUAGAACACCACUGCGGUCGAUUUUCGCCAAGUCUUCCGUUAACUCCAAGUACUCCAUAUCUUUUCUUAGAGUCUCUUUCUAAGUCUUCCUAGGUCUUCCUCUACCCUUUUUGCCCUCAGCAGCUAAACCUCUGUCUCAUAAUCACAACUUCUAACCGGAGCAUUUAUAGGUCUUCGAUUCACAUGUCCAAAUCACCUUAACCGAUUUUCUCUCAUCUCAUCUUCUAUUAUAUCAAGUCCUACUUUACCUCGGAUAUCCUCGUUCUUAAUCUUGUCCUUUACCGUGUGUCCACACAUCCACCGAAACAUUCUCAUCUUUGUUACACUCAUUUUUUGCCCGUGUUGAUGCUUGACCACCCAAUAUUCCGUGCCAUAAAUUGGAAAGAAAAAAAAAACAGCUUUAAAAUCCCGAAGACAAUAAACAAAUUUUCUCCCAUAACUCCUCUCUGCUACUUCUUUCCGCCCAUAUUACCCAUAAAACAGCCAAAAAAACCCAACCCCCUAAAGUCACAAUUAUUCAAUUUUGCAAAUAAUGCACCAAAGGUUUUGGCUUAACAAACAUUACACCUCCUCUUGUGAGUAAUGUCAUAAGUAUUCACGAACUUUCAGGAUUAAAUAUGGAGGGCAAUGCAGCUAACAUGGGGAACGAUAUAGCGAGCGCAACAAGGAAAAAUAAACGGGCUUCCUUCAGAACACAACGGAAAUUACCUCUCUAUGUUCUUCCUGUGCACUCUGACUACAUUGAAACAGAAAGGGCAACAAAUCCGGCCAUUCUCCAGCCGGGACUGCAUAUUUUGCGACGACACUAACCACAUUGGCACUGGCUCGCCUCACCGGCGGACUGCAUAAACACCACGAAAUCAAUAAGCAAACCAAUUCAAAUACAAAGAAAAUAAAUCACACAGGAGCUCAAGCAAUUAAGCAUCACCCCAAAUAAAAAACAAUCCAAUCGAGAUAAAUUCAGACCUGUGCUCCAUUGUGAUGCUCUCAAUGAGGGACUGCUUAACGAGGUGUUUAAUCUGGGGUGAGAGCUUGGCCCAGUGUCCAGUGAUCUUCUUCCUCAGAAGCACUGCUGCCAAUUGCCUCACGUUCGGCGUCUUGGCGGUGCGGAGGUGCUAUACGAGCGCGGGAACCACCUGAGGGUCCUUGGCCAACCGCUUUAUCUGGUCCUCCGCCUGCCGCCGGGCGUCGUUGUCCGGCAUCAGGAAUUGUAUCAGCAAGAGCUCUAGUGACUGCGACAUGUCGUCUGCUCUAGUCUCUCUCUCGCUCUGUCUGUAUAUCUAGGGUUUCUGGUAUCGUUCGUGCGACGCCGUUUCGGGUGGGGCAAGUUUCCAGCGAAAGGGAAAUGGAGGCGUUGCCUUUUGUUGUAGUGCGAGGGUUUUUUAUUAAGGUUUUGUGGGGAGGGACUCUCUGCUGCUCCCGCCGCCGCUUUGCUUUGGAGUGAAGGCUUUUUAUACGCUGUGGGGACACGCUGGACAGACAAGUAGGUUGUCCCAGGACACUCCCAAUUAAGAGCGGCCUUCUAAUUUUGGUUUGGUAUGCCUUCUUUUUCUCUCACUAACUAUUUGAUGUAAUGUCUGUUGUUCUUGCUCGUUCAGCAAGUUAUAUUGAGAACAUUCGACAGACUCUCAAUAAUACUUAUUAGAUUAUUUCAGCAUAUGUUGAUAUAUAUUGACAUAUAUUGACAUAUAUGUAACAUGGUUUGGUUGACGACAACAAACACAUCAAGUAUUCAAUGAAAUGCCUCAAGAAAGAAAUUGAAAUUGUUUUGCACACUUCAUGCUCUAUUUCUUUGAAAAAAAUAGACAAUUAACAUUGAGACCCGUUAAAUUCAAAACCUGAAUUCGCCACUACUAAAAUCUAUUGUUGCUUAGAUGUGUGCCUAAUAAGUACAAUUUGACACAAAAAUUAAUAAUAGUCAGUGUUUCGAAUUCAAAAAAUUCUCAAAAUAAGAAAAUUAAGAAUCUAAGAAUUUUUCUUUGGACAUGUGGCACAAAAACAAUAGUAAAAUGAGAUUGCAAAAUAUAAAGUAUGACUUGUUACCCCAGGUACUUCACAAAAACAAAGUUAUAUUUAUGCUACGUAAUCAGUUUUAAUAGAUUUUUAAACCAACUUGAUGGUAAUUUUGCCUCAAAAUUUUUUAUCGAUUCACAAAAUUUUGUAAUUACGAUCAGAAGCAUGGAUGAUGUAAAUCAAUAUGUAGCUCUGGUGGAUCGUUUGAAAUUGAUUUUUUUCAUUUGUGGGCUCUCCUGGAGGACCCUGUGCAUUUGGACCAGUCCCUUAUAGUGGUCUUGUGCGAGAUAUGCCGUCCCUUAAUACGUAAUUACUUGGGAAACAAGAUUCCCGAGUGCUUGAGCCUUCACAGAUACCAUUGAUGUCCGAUUAAUUCGUUGGCUGAGUUAUGCAGCAGCAAUACACUGUGUAUAAAUAUAUCUGUUGCAGGAAAAACCUAACGCAAACACUUCUGGUGUCGAGCGGAAAACCCCAUCGACAGUGGGUGCUGGUGAGCUGCCUACAUUUGGGUUGAAAACGAACCCAGAGAGGAAUGUAGUUGCACCCUGCGCCAGCUUAGUGAAACAACUGAGAAAAGCUUAGGUCAACACAUAAACAGUGAGAAGCGCAUGGCCAAGGAAGCAAGACUAAGAGCUCAGCAACUCGACAAGAUCCCUCCGGCAAUGUACUAUCGUCACAAUUUUCUAAGCAUAAAGAGACCGACGGUAUCACAAACACCGUUUUUUGUUGAUGAUUAGUUUUAUUCAGAAUCACGUGUAACAAUUAUCAAUUAAUAACACCACCAACACAUAUGCAAAUCAAAGCAAAAGGGUCGACCCAAAUUAAUAGGCACUGCAUAAAAUAAUAUCCCAAAAGCAGGAGUACAAGUAAAGCAAAUCCAUAUUAAACACAGAAAACUCUACCAUGUAUAUCUGCCAGCCACGAAUGGCAACGAUUGAGCUAUCUAGCUUAAGUAUUCCAAGUCAGACAUAAAUCCAUAAGAACAUGUAAUAUAGCGCGCUGAAACGAAUGAUAAAUCAGAAGGAUGAUAUAUCAUUGCUCAAAAGGGUAGGACUGGGAGGACCCUAAUUGUCCUUAUCUUCAGGGAAGAAGAACUCUUCCCAUAAUCUAGUUUUUUCGAUCUUUUUGUUCGGCUCCGGGCAUUCUGAAGUCCUGUGACCAAUCUCAUCACAAAAGGAACACCAAAGGAUAUUAACACGCCGCCCGUAUAUUUCAUAGCCCUUGCCAACUUGAGUUACGCCGAAGGGGAGACGUCUCCUCCAUGGACAGUGUUCAGGAGCGUGGCCCAACUUAGUGCAUAUUGGACAACUAGAUGGCAAUUCGGAAACUAUGCGUGGCUCGACUAUGCAUUUGGGAAUUUUGUCCUCCUUGAACAAAGCUGGGCUAGUACUCUUCUCCUCUAGUUGGAUUUGAGCCAGUAAGUCUGCAGCAGCCUUUACAUUCUUGAGGUGAAUCGUCGGAGAGUCUUUAACAACCGCCUUUUUUUCUUUCUUCUUCUCUGCGUAUUUGGGAAAAUGUACAGAUAUUACUAACAUUGAUAAGCUAAGUAGGCCAUCCGGAUCCAGGUCCUUAAUUCCGUUAUAUUCUCGAUCUCAAUCAAUCAUUAUAAAUACUUACUACUACGGCUUCACUCUCAAUUACGUGCUACUACUCUGGGUUAAUUUGUUAGGACAACAAAGUUAAACAUGUAUAAAAUAAAUAGCUAUUGGAAAUUAACACUCCCCUACGACUACGAAGUUUUGUUGAAAAUUCUUUCGACAUAAGUAACCGGCCUGGCCAAAUCAAACUGAAUUGCGAUAAUUGAUUGAUUGUGAAUAGAAUAUCAUCUAGCUGGCUACGAAAUUUGGUUGAAAAUUAUCCUCAGUAACCGGGCAGAUCAAUCAUCUUAAUUGACUGUGGAAAUAAUAUCUAGCUAUUAAUAAUUAAACGAAUUAAUUUAUAAAAUAUAGAAAAUAAAAUAAAAUUCUUGGUGCCUUUUAGGGCCUCCAAUUCACUUUCGCAUAGGGCCCUAAAAUCUCAGGGCCGGCCCUGCCUACAACCAUCACUUAACCGAAAAUCCACAAAACUUGAAAGAUCAACGAGGACUCGAAAAUGAAGAAGCUUGCCUUCUUGAGGGCAAGGUGUAUGUACAAUUGUUGAUUAAAAAUACACGCACACCCCCAAAGAAAACACCACCAGUGCACGCAAAUCAAACCAAAGCAAAGCGUCGAUCCAAAUUAAUAGGCAAUGCACAGACAUGAUAGUCCAAUACAUGUGCGAGCAAAGGAAGCCAAAUUAAAUACAGAAAACACCCAACAACAAGGGGUGUAUACAGUGAGUGAAGAGACUAGAAGAACUCUAAGUUCAUUGCAGCAACGACGUCCUCAUAUUAGUGGUUAAUUUGGUAUUGUGAAUUACAUGUUUAUGCAUUCAAUUACGUGCUACUACUCUGGAUUAAUUUGUUAGGACAACAAAGUUAAAUAUGUAUAAAAUAAAUAGCUACUGGAAAUUAAAACUCCCCUACGACUACGAAGUUUUGUUGAAAAUUCUUUCGACACAAGUAACCGGCCUGGCCAAAUCAAACUAAAUUGCGAUAAUUGAUUGAUUGUGAAUAGAAUAUCAUCUAGCUAGCUACGAAAUUCGGUUGAAAAUUAUCCUCAGUAACCAGGCAGAUCAAUCAAGUAUCUUAAUUGACUGUGGAAAGAAUAUCUAGCUAUUAAUAAUUAAACGAAUUAAUUUAUAAAAUAUAUAAAAUAAAAUAAAACACAUAUUUUCAACAUAAGAAGGGAUUUUGAAUUUUUAUGAACAAGGCAUCAAGAACCCUAAUUAAGUUCAAGCUCUGUAACCCUUAAAAUAAUAAAAUAUAUGCAGAUUGCAAUGAGCAUAUGUAGGCCAGUUAUGCUUUUGUAAAUUGGAAAUUACAGAUAAUCUUCCUCGUCACAAACCCUAAAAACGAAAAUUGAAAAGCAAACCAAAAGGACUCCGAAUCUCACCUCGGAGCUUCGUCGAUUGGGUUGGAAUUGGGUUCUUCCCCUUCCCGAAUCCUUGUCCGGCGAGUGACUUGGACUUAUCCUUCGCCUUCGAUGUGCCUUUGGUUCGGCGGUACAUGGUUUUUGUCAUAGAGAGAUUGCGGUUGCAUGAGUUCUUUUUUAUUUUGUUUUGUUUUAGUUGGAUUAUAUGGUAUGCUAAACCUUACUUAAAUACUAAACCUUCAAACUAAAAUUUGACUAUAAUACCCUUCAUAUUUAAUUUGAUUAUCUCCGGUUUUUUGUUUCCUUUUUAGUCUAAUUUGAUCCCAACAUAUGUCGAGAAUCAACACGUGACAAGGAAAAUAACGUCCAUUGAAUACGAUAUAAGUUAUGGAAUAAAAAUAUUUUAACUGAUAAACCAAAAUAAUAUGAAGGUGGCUAAGUUUUCCGCAAAAUAUUUACAAAUAUGAACAACCCAAAAAGAAGCAUAAUCUUUACUUUACUAAGAACCAGAUUGAGGUGCUCAAAAGAAAGUCCCAAAAAAUAAAGUACAAGAUAGGAUAUAGGGGUAACCUAGCACUCCAAAUCUCUGAUAAUUGUACCACUACCCCACCUACGAACCUCUCGAAGCUACUCAUACUUGUUACCUGUAAGAUCAGUGCCUACACCAUCGAAAUAGUACACCGGGCAAACAACAACCCAGAUAAGUUACGAAGCUUGUGUGAGCGAUAAAUAAUACAAGUAUACGAUACUAAUAAUAAAACUAACCACCAUUCACAAUUAUAAACCUUGAAUAUAAAUCAUUUAUAAGAAAUCGCUACCAAACCUUGCAACCUCCGAAGGGGUCACACAUACAUCCAACGAGUUUUCUAAAUCAAAACUCAAAGUUCUCAAAGCCACAUUCACAUAUAUAUUCAAAACUAGAUUUAGAGAGACGUCGUUUGGCCGAAGCCUACGCAAAUAACCAAUUAGGAAGUGGCCCCCCAAAACGGCUCAACCAAGCAAAGCCACCCCUAAGAAAGUAACCAAGAAGGUAGUGACCCCCAUUGCGGAUUACCAAGCAGAGUCACCCCUAAGAAAAUAACCAAAUAGGUAGUGACCCCCCAAUGCGGAUUAACCAAGCAGAGUCACUCCUAUAACUAUUGGAAGGUGAUCACCCGAUGCGAAUUAACCAAGCAUGAUCACCUUUAAAUGUGUAUGGCCAUACCUAGGCUAUAAGGAUCGCCCAACGCGGAUUAACCAAGCGCGAUCCACAAAUAGUAUGGUCCCCUAACGCGGAUAAACCAAGUAGGACCAUCCAGGACCAUUGCUAUGUGGUGCAGACUUAGUGUCACCUAACCCCAUGACACUAGGGUAAUGGUCCUUCACAAUCCAUCAUUUUUAUCAUCCAUCACAUAUAUAUCCCAAAACGCAAUCCAUCAUUUUUAUCAACCAUCACAUAUAUAUACCAAAACACAAUCCAUCACAGUUCAAAUAUCCAAGUCACUUAAUGUUUCAUAAGUAUAUCGACGUUACUAGCAACAAUUAUUUAGCAUCAGAACUAUUUUGAGAAUCCAUAGUAUAACCACAAAGUUUAUUAGCACAGAGGAUUUCAAAGCAAUAACCAUAAUACAUAGAUUAGAACCACUCACCUGAGAUCCACACUAACGCACUCAAACACGAGAGUCAAGGCAUCACGUUCUAUCACCGCCUAACAAGGUACAAACCACAUUUAGAUUUCCUUCGAUAAUUCACAUACUUAAAACUCUUAUAUAUUUCCCACAACAACAUUUAAUAAGGAAUCGAACUGUCAUUUUAAGGUAGGGUCCUUGAUCUUACUGUCACUUAUUCCAUAAUAUCCAAUCACUAGAUUUUCACUUGUAAGUCCCUAAGGUCCAUAAACAUUAUCUACCAUAGCAUACUAAAAGUGGUGUCAAUUCAAUGAUAAGAUCAUCAAUCGCUAGAAUAAUCAAGUGGCGGAGCUUAUCGAUAAAAUACUCAACCAACAACAUUUUUAUAAAUCGAAUGUCACACACCAGAAAAUUUGACUUUCUCAAAAAAUUCUCAAAUUUUACAGGAAUAAAGAUUUCAACAAGUAGAGUAAAUUUUAUACCUGUGGUCGAGUCCAAUUUGGCCAGGAAAGCCCUCAAAUUGGCUCGCACCCAACGAAACCCUAAGGUGGGUGUCCUUAAAUUCGGCUUCCUUGGUGUUCCAACGCUCCAACCACCAGUUGGGUCUUGUUCUUGGGUCCAAGGGAAGUUGAUUAAGGGUGAUGGUGAAUGGUGAUACUCUCCGGAAUGACAAUUUAUCAUCGAGAACCUCCGGGUUCUCCUAUGGAGUUCUACAUGAAAUAAACCUUAAAAACCCCUGAUUUUUGGUAGAAAGGGAAGGAGGAAGGUAGUUGAGCAAGUUGCAGGUGAAGGAGGUAGGAAAAUCAACUGGGAAAUGGAAGAAAUAGCCUGAAAUUGGCCAGUUUGAAAUUUGGCUGUGGACCUCACGUUUUCACGAAUUAGAGGGAAAGAAAGUGCCGUGCCUUUCUUUCCAAAUGGGUCUUUAAUACCCCUUUUUCAAAAAUGAAAACUAAUGAAAAAUGCUUGAAAACUUUGAGUUUUAAUGAUAAGGACAAUAUAAAGGGUAAAGUGAAUAGUACCAGGAUUGACUUUUUAGUGUAAAAAUGUGAUUUUUCGUUAAAGUGAACAGUACCAGGUGCUUUUCGUUAAAGUUCCCUUUUUAAAAAUCUAACAGGUUCCUCGUUUUUUUUUCUCUACUAACUUAACUUAACCUUUAAUCCAUGCUUCUCACAAUCUAUAGUUCACAACUUCAAACAUCCGUAACUAUACCCUUAUAAUUCGGACUUGCAAACAGCUUUCACCUAUGCGUUCGUGGGUUCGAGGCUAUUUAAAAACAGUAGUUGUAACCUCGAAAUAUCGACAAAAGAUAAAGAUUGAUUAUGAACUUUCCAACUCGAUAACUAAUCAAUUACUAAACUUAAAAUUAAUGGAAUUAAAAUUAACUAAUAAAGUUAACAUAAGCGCGAGAUACGAGUUUUAAAAUACAAGAUAUGUAAUAAUUGGUGAAAUUCCGGGGAUGGAAUUUCACACUAUCUCUCCAUUAUUUGUGUGGGCUGGGCUAAUAACAAAGAUAAAUUAACAUUUAACGAACGAAUGAAGCUUGAAUCAAACUUGGAAUUGUUAAGAGAUUUACUAUCAAAUUUCAAACGUGUCUUGCGAAGAUGACCAUGAAUGCAGCAUCUGCAUAAUUGAAAUUUGAACUCUGAAAGGUAAUUGAGUGUUGGAAAGUAGCUGAAGUUUCAUAGACAUUAUCCCCCACCAAAGUUAACGUGUGCCCCAAGCAACCAUUACACACGGACUCAAAACUAAACGGACUCAAAACUAACAAUCGACACAAAAGAAAGAGAAUGUCCAGAUUAACACCUACAACCAGUGCCGGCCCUGAGGGGGUGCAAUAGGUGCCACCGCACAGGCCCCUGAUUUUUCAAAUUUGCAUGCAUUUACACACACACACACACACACACACACACACACACACACACACACACACACACAUAUAUAUAUAUAUAUAGUAGCAUGUGUAGAAUAUUACAAACUUGAGUCUUAGCGCAAGUGGUAUUACUGCUUCUUUACAGCGGCCUAGGAUUUGGGUUCAAAACUCGUCUCCAUCAUCUUUUUAGUUUAUUUUUAUUAAAUACAUAAGCUUCCACAAAAUAAUAUAAAAAUUCCACACAAUAACAUGAAAAUUCAAACCAUGACCCUCUAAAAAGUUAAGGAAAAACUUGUCUAUGGCAUUUAGUACAAUUAUGAACUUUCAAAAACUCAUUAUGUUUAGUGAAAACCUUGAAAACCAUGCAAAACCUUGAAAUUCAUGCAAACCCUAGGAAUAUGGUGUUUACCCUAAAAGAAUUACAACCCUUAACCACAAGAAGCAAGCCUCAAAUUAGCUAUAAUAUUUAGUCUAAUUUACAUCAAGUAACUCAAUUAAUAAUUUUGAUGGUAGCUAAGCGUCAAGAUAAUAAGCACGGUGAUUAAGAAUCCCAUAUUAAAAGGCAAUCGUAAGACAGGCAAAAUGAGAAAACUAGAUUAUCAUAUUAGGGUUUCAUCAUUGCCUAGCAAGGGUGUUUAGUUACACAUAGUCAAAUUAAUAACAAUAAGUCAUGAAAAAGAACAAAUAGUACUCGAAAUAACAACGGUGAUGUGCUCCUAAGCACCCCUUUCUCUUUUGGACAAAUUUGUGUGUAUGGUGACAUGUAGAGAGAUCAUAGGACAUAUAUUUAUACUAAAAAAACACUAAAAGGUCUGGUAAAAGCUCUCCUAGAAAAACAAAAUCCAAAACGAUAUUGGACACAAACUAAGAAACAAUUCUUCUUGACUUGGGAGAACAUGUGAUCCAUCUUUCAUGCUAGAUCUGGGGUCGUUCCAGCUUCAUUUAUGUGGAAUUCUGAAAAAUAGGAAACUUAUAGCUCUAUGUCUAGGCAUAUAAGGCACGACACUUGAAAAAUUAGAAAAGCCUUCAAAUCUUCAUUCUCCCAUAGUUGCACAAUUUUACUGAGAAUGUAACUUUUACGGGAUUGAUUUGCAGAACUGGAAUGUUUGACUUCAUGAAAAAACGUGAAAGUUGAACACAACUAUCUUAAUCCUCUUAGCUUCCUUCCAAUUGACUAUAAAAAAUUCUCCGAUAAGUCUAUUUAUAAAGAAAAAAAUAUCAUAAGUGCACAAAUUGACUAAAUUAAUAAAAAGAAUUUAAAAGACUCUAUAAAGACCAAUUCCUAACGAAUCCUUAAAAAAUAUGAAGGCAUUAUUGGGAGGACAUACUUCUCAUAAAAAAAUAGUCAACCAAAUUUUAACAACAUGAAUAUUUAUACCCUCGAAAAUAACCAUUCUAUUUCCAACGAUAAUAUCGUUUAUCGUUAAGAUGAUCGGGGCCAAGCCUUCCUACCAACUAAAGUACAAUUCGAGCGGCCAUUGGGACUAUUUUUUAAUGCAUUAUGUGUGUCGAAAAAAAAAUUCAUUUCCUUUGACAUGUUUUUUUCUUGUAGUGUAAGGCAAUGUAAGUUUCAAGAACAAAGGCACAGAUGAAAUGUGUUUAACAACCUAACUUAAACUUUUGAUAACUAUAUUUUAUUGAUGUUGUUUGCAUGCGUCGUUUAUUUGGCCUAGGUUUGGAGUAACGACAGAAUAAAAUCUUGUAUGCACAAAGUCGUUUUGAAGGAAACUAAGGUAAGAUACUCGUUCGGACAAUUCUUUUGGAACAAAGGAGUGAUAUAUGUACCGAAUGAGCUUACGGACGAGGACCACCCCAUGCAGUAUAAGCCAAUAGACCUAGUGGAAUAUCUUCAAUAUUAUUAUGAAAAUAUGCACACCGUGGGAUUUGAUUUUUCGGUCAAGGACUAUUGUGGGAAGCAUGACGCCACAAGCAUGAGUUUGAAAGGAGGUGUAGGAAAAUAAUAAUGGAAAGUUUCAUGUACUUAGAUUCACUUUUUCUCGUGGGUUUAGCCUUUGCUUAUUCAAUAAGACGUGUAUCUUGUUCUCUAUAAAUACUUCCAUACGAAGUCUAUCGGAGUUGAACCGAGGUUGUAUUCGUAUCAAAUAAUUAUACUUUGGUAUGCUAGAUUUGUUGUGCUAGGAUAACACCAAACCCGUUGGAACCAACUCAAGCUAACCCACAGGAAAUUUAUCAAAUGAAAUGCAAGAACAAAAUAUUAAAGACACCAAGAUUUUAACGAGGUUCCUCAACAGUCAGUGUAACUGGAGUACGUCCUCGGAGCAGUAGGAGCUCACCCAAUAAUCCACUAUCAACCAAAUGGGAGUUUACAAAGUGUUGGCAAUCUCACAACCCAAAUAACCCAAUACACCCAAUAGCUCUCACACACCACAGAAACAAAUAGAGAAAGAAAUAUAAUGUAUAAUUUCUUCUCUAUACAUAUAGCUCAAAGCUAUUACAACAAUACCUAUUUUUGAUGGAUGAUUGCUAACAAAAGGAAGAGCACUUUCUUCUUCUCUUCAACGAAGGGUUGCUGCACCCUUUCUAUUUUUCUGAUGCACUCCUUUUCUCUGCAGCUCUCUACUCACUCUUCUCUCUUCUGCUCUAAUCUGAAAUUGAGCUCUCCUUUUCUUCUCUAUCUACCGAAACAAAACAAUGACUUAUUAUUUAAACCAAGCCAUCACUUUCGGCUAAUAAAAAACCACAAAAGAAGAAAAAACAUCAUCAUGAUGCCUCCUCAUCAUGAUGUCUUUAUAAUUUUAUAACCAAAAGUUUUUUCUUUUCCUUUUUUUAAUAGCCGAAAGUAAUUGUUGUUUGGCCAUAAUUUAACAAUCUCCACCUUGGCCAAAUUUCGAAAACACCAUGAUAAGCCAACCAACACAAUCAACACAAAAAAAUCACUCCCAAACACUAGUACGAGAACAACUCAUACCGAGCCAAAUGCUCCAAAACUCCUACUGCUCAACGCCUUCUUUAUAUAGGCAUAAUGUGAGCCAAGUUCAAACAGUGAACAAACUUGGCUACAGCAACCUUAGUCAACAUAUCAGCGGGGUUGUCUUUAGUUGGAAUCUUCUGGAGAAUGAUUUCCCCUUCACCAACAAUUUCACGAACAAAGUGAUAACGCACAUCUAUGUGCUUGGUCCUCGCAUGAUGAACCUGAUACUUAGCCAAAUAAAUGGCACUCUGACUAUCACAAUGUACCUCCACCUGCUUCUGAUCAACCCCCAAAUCUCUAAUCAGCCCAUGUAUCCAAAUGGCCUCCUUUAUAGCUUCAGCAACUGCCAUAUAUUCAGCCUCUGUAGUAGACAAGGCAACAGACAACUGCAAAAUGGACCUCCAACAAACUGGUCCUUUAGCCAUAGUAAACACAUAGCCUGUAGUAGACUUCCUUCCAUCUAGAUCACCUGCAUAAUCUGAAUCAACAUAACCAACUGCAAAAUGACUAAUACUAGAGUCAUCCCUCUCAAAGCAUAAACCAACAUCUCGAGUACCAUGGAGAUAUCUCAAUAUCCACUUAGCUGCUUGCCAAUGCUCUUUACCUGGAUUAUGCAUAUAUCGACUCACCAUGCCAACUGCAUGAGCAAUAUCCGGUCUAGAGCAUACCAUUGCAUACAUCAAACUACCAACCAAAUUUGCAUAUGGUAUAUUUUUCAUUUGCAGCUUCUCUUUAUCAGUUUUAGGACACUGUAGAGAACUCAAUUUAAAAUGAGGAGCCAAAGGGGUACUAACCGGUUUGGUUGAAUCAUGAACUCCAAACUUCCGAAUCAACUUCUCAAGGUAUUGUCUUUGAUUCAAACUGACGAAACCCUUUGCUCUAUCUCUAGUGAUCUCCAUGCCAAGGAUCUUCUUCGCUUCACCAAGAUCCUUCAUCUCAAACUCAUUCUUCAUUUGCUUCUUCAAUUUCUCAAUCUCUUCGACAUUCUUUGAGGCAAUCAACAUAUCAUCAACAUAUAUCAAUAAAUAAAUGAAAGACCCAUCUUGCAACUUCUUGAAGUACACACAAUGAUCAUAUUGACUUCUAGAAUAAUUUUGGCCUCUCAUAAAUUUAUCAAACCUCAAAUACCAUUGUCUUGGAGAUUGCUUCAAGCCAUAAAGUGAUUUCUUCAAUUUGCAAAACAAAUUCUCCUUCCCUUUCACUACAUACCCAUCCGGUUGACACAUAUAAAUCUCUUCAUUCAAAUCACCAUGUAGGAAAGCCGUCUUCACAUCAAGUUGCACAAGCUCAAGAUCAUAUUGUGCAACAAGAGCUAACAUAAUACGAAUUGAGGAGUGUUUCACAACUGGAGAAAAUAUUUCAUUGUAGUCAAUGCCCUCCUUUUGUGCAUACCCUUUAGCAACUAAUCUUGCUUUAAAUCUCACAUUGCUUUUCUCAUCAGCAUCUUCCUUCUUGGCAUACACCUAUUUGCAACCAAUAGCUUUCUUGCCCUUAGGCAAUUUAGCUAACUCCCAAGUCUUGUUCUUCAAGAGAGAAUUCAUCUCAUCACCCAUGUCAUUGCACCACCUAUUCUUCUCCUCACUCUCAAUAGCUUCCUCAAAAUUGGAUGGAAUCUCUUCAGUGAUAAUAGGAAGAGCAAAAGCAACAUAAUCACUAUAACGAGCUGGCUUAGUAAUUUGUCUCUUUCCUCUGUUCUUGGCAAUAGACUCUUGAGGUGAAACUUGCUCUUCAACUUGAAUAGAAUCUUCAAGUUCAACUUCUUCAUCCUCAUGGUCUCCCACUUCUUCACUUGUAGUGGCUUCGACAUCAGCGGAAAUAGGAUUUGAAGUACCAGAGGCAACUUUCUCAAGCUCCACCUGUUGGACAUCUUUCACAUUCUUCUCAGAGACUUUGUACAUACUUUCUUCGUCAAAUGUCACAUCUCUACUAAUUACCAGUUUCUUCAUCUCUGGACACCACAACCUGUAACCUUUGACACCACUACUAAAACCAAGAAAAAUAGCCUUUUUGGCUCUAGGAUCAAGUUUAUUUUCAGUCACAUGAAAAUAAGCAGGUGAACCAAAAAUACGGAUAUAGUCAUAAUCAGAAGAAGGUUUUCCAAUCCAUACCUCCAUUGGUGUCUUACCCUGAACAGCAGCUGAGGGUAACCGAUUGAUGAUGUGACAUGCAUAAUUAACUGCUUCUGCCCAAAAUGACUUGCUUAAACCCGACUGAGACAACAUACAUCUAACCUUCUCAAGCAAGGUUCGAUUCAAUCUUUCUGCAACUCCAUUUUGUUGUGGAGUUCCCCGAACACUGAAAUGUCUCACAAUUCCUUCCUCUUUGCAAACUUUAAAGAAAGGAUCGGAUGUGUAUUCACCACCAUUAUCCGAUCUCAAAAUCUUAAUCUUUCUCCCAGUCUGGUUCUCAACCAUUUUCUUCCAACUCAAGAAAAUGCUCAAUACCUCACUCUUGUGCUUCAUAGUGUAAACCCAAGACCUUCUUGAAUAAUCAUCAACAAAGGUCACGAACCAAUGUCUACCACUCAAAGAGGGAGUCUUUGUAGGACCCCAAACAUCCGAAUGCACAUAAUCAAGAAUGCCCUUUGUCUGAUGUACAGCAGUACCAAACUUCACUUUAGUUUGCUUCCCCAAGACACAAUGCUCGCAGAAAUCAAGCUUACAAGUCGUGGCACCUUUUAGAAGACCUUUUUCACAAGCCCUUGUAGAGCUUUCUCACCGGCAUGGCCUAAUCUCAUAUGCCACAAUCUAGUAGUAUCUGAAUCAGAUGUGCCCAUAUUUUCAGAGACUACAGAUGCUUCACCUGUCACAGUGCUUCCCUGCAAUAAAUACAAAUGGCCACAUCUAGGAGCUUUCAUCACAACAAGUGCACCAUAAGUAACUUUCAAUGUCUGUCCAUCUGAAUGAAACCUGAAACCCUUAGAUUCCAAAGUACCCAAAGAAAUAAGAUUUUUCUUCAAAUUCGGUACAUACCGAACACCUGUCAACUCUUUAACCAUGCCAUCAUGCAACUUCAAACGAACUGUACCAAUCCCUUUUGUUGUGCAAGGAUUGUCAUCUCCCAUGAACACAACGCCACCAUCAAACUCUUUCAAGCUUGAAAACCAAUCCUUAUGAGGAGUCAUAUGAUGAGUACAACCCGUAUCCAACACCCACUUAGUAGCACAAUCAAAUGAUGAGGAAGUGGUUAAAGCAAAAUCAGAAAAAUCUGUUUCAACCUCAGCAACAUUAGCUUCAGAACUUUCUUUGCCUUUGGUCUUCAAUUUUGGACAAUCUUUCUUCCAAUGGCCCUUAUUACGACAAAAGGCACAUUCAUCCAUUUCCAAAGGUUUUCUACCUUUAGAGUUUCCUCUAGGUCGAGACUGUGAUUUUUUCCUACUAGAAGAUGACUUCCUCUCCGAUGAUCUACCUCUAACAAAUAAAGCUUCAGAGGUACUAUCAUGAUUUUUAUCUCUAUGCCUCAUUUCAUAAUUCAUCAAGGCAUUUGACACAUCUUCAAAUUUCACAGUUUCUUUACCAUGCAUAAUAGUGGUAACAAAAUGCUCAUAAGAGUCCGGCAAGGAAUUCAACAAUAUUAAGGCCUUAUCUUCAUCCUUAAUAUCCUCAUCUAAAUUUAACAAGUCGGCAAUCAACUUAUUAAAAGCAUCAAGGUGUCUAAUCAUUUUUGUACCUUCUUUGUAUUGGAAGCGGUAGAGCUUUUUCUUCAAGUGUAGCCGGUUCUCUGCAUUCUUCGUCAUAUACUUGUCUUCCAAUUUUUGCCACAACACACUUGCUACCGUCUCCCGCAUCACAAAAUACUUCUGAGUUUUUGCAAGGCACAACCGAAUUGAAGAGCAAGCCCACAAAUUUAAUUUCUCCCAUUCCGACUUCGACAUAGCUUCCGGCUUCUCUCCCAAAGCGGCAAGUAGAUCUUGUUGAGCCAACACAUCUUUGACCUCACAUUGCCACAUCCCGAAGUUGUUUGUGCCAUCAAACUUUUCCACUUCGAACUUUGCAUUUUGCACCGUAGUUCUUGCAAACCCGGAGCUGCUUCCAAAAGGAUUUUCAUCUUGCCCGUCUGACAUCUUUGGCAACUAGACAGUACCCAAGAGCAACUAGUGCUCUGAUACCAAUUGUUGUGCUAGGAUAACACCAAACCCGUUGGAACCAACUCAAGCUAACCCACAGGAAAUUUAUCAAAUGAAAUGCAAGAACAAAAUAUUAAAGACACCAAGAUUUUAACGAGGUUCCUCAACAGUCAGUGUAACUGGAGUACGUCCUCGGAGCAGUAGGAGCUCACCCAAUAAUCCACUAUCAACCAAAUGGGAGUUUACAAAGUGUUGGCAAUCUCACAACCCAAAUAACCCAAUACACCCAAUAGCUCUCACACACCACAGAAACAAAUAGAGAAAGAAAUAUAAUGUAUAAUUUCUUCUCUAUACAUAUAGCUCAAAGCUAUUACAACAAUACCUAUUUUUGAUGGAUGAUUGCUAACAAAAGGAAGAGCACUUUCUUCUUCUCUUCAACGAAGGGUUGCUGCACCCUUUCUAUUUUUCUGAUGCACUCCUUUUCUCUGCAGCUCUCUACUCACUCUUCUCUCUUCUGCUCUAAUCUGAAAUUGAGCUCUCCUUUUCUUCUCUAUCUACCGAAACAAAACAAUGACUUAUUAUUUAAACCAAGCCAUCACUUUCGGCUAAUAAAAAACCACAAAAGAAGAAAAAACAUCAUCAUGAUGCCUCCUCAUCAUGAUGUCUUUAUAAUUUUAUAACCAAAAGUUUUUUCUUUUCCUUUUUUUAAUAGCCGAAAGUAAUUGUUGUUUGGCCAUAAUUUAACAAGAUUCUUGCUAUGCUGUGCUGUGUUGUUUCCAAAUGGAAUCAAUCCAAAAGCCUGUUGUUUCAAAGGAGAUGGUGCUCACAUUCCCCCAAUCUCAAACUGUCGACACAACAUAACAACGAUUUAGUAUGGAAAGUGAUUUUUGCAUGCCAUUUUCACCUCCCGCACAUCCUUUAUUCAUUUCUAACCAUUGGAUUUAACAAAUAGGAGAACCAGGAGCUAAAAUUUAGAGGGGCGUGCAAAAAUUACUCCCCUUUCGGAUUCGGUCAACAUGGGUUAGUUGUCGCUCCUAUCGACUCUAGUUACCAACCAUGGAUUAAUUAGAAUUAGAUGCCUCAUUUUAGAUUGUUCUAAAUUAAACAUCUGUUACUUUUCAACUUUUGAUUAAAGUGCUUUUACUUUUAAUUAAACUUUAUAUUCCAGGUAUAUUCUUAAUUUAAGUAUUUUAUAAAUUCUUUUAAAUCCAUUUCUAUGUAAAAAAAAUGCACUCAAUAAUAUUCAUUAAUUUAUUACCAUUUUUAUGGAAUCUCAUCCCUUCCUCAAUUUAAGGAUUCAAUUAUAUCUACUGGGGUUCAAGAUUAAUUGGAUGAAAUAUAGUUUUUCCAAUUUCCAACUCAACAUUUUAUAUAGAUUAUAAAAAAACAAGAGUUCGUUUAUAAUUAAAAUUGAGAUGUAGACUAGACUGCCUAAUUUCAUGCAACUGAAAAUAAAUUUGAAUUUUUUAACAACUACUUAUAGUAGAAACGUGAACCAAGAGUUUUCACAUUUUUAUUUUUAUUUAAAAUGAGUCUUUAUUCCAAUAAUUAAUUAUUAAGAGUUGACGCAAUGUUUUAAUGUGAAAAGUUAUAUUUUUUUUGGGUUACACAACUUACACAUAACGUACCAUAAGUUUUGUACGUACCAAAAUAUGGAUAAUACAACGUACUAAUAACUUGGUACAUACUAAAUAAAGAAUUGCAUAACGUACCAAAAGCAAGAUUUUAUAACAUACCAAAAUACUAAUACAUACCCAGAUUAAAUUUAUAUAACGUACCAACAACGUGGUACGUUAUAUUUAAUAUAUCUGUUUGGUACGUUAUAUUUCAUAUAUGUGCAUGUUAUAUUUCAUAAUUGUAUGUUAAUAGGAUGUUUAUGUAUUUUAAGAAUUUAAAACAACAAAUUAUUUGAAUAAGAAAAAUUCAUUUUGAACGAAGUAUGAUAAGAUAAGAUAGGAAGUUUGUGAUGAUUUUAGAACAUUUGUGAUAUUAUUUUCUGAACUAGUUAGUUAAUUAAAUACAAUAAAAAUCAUAAUUUUUAAUUAAAAAUUAGUAGAAGAAUGUUUGAUCAAAAGUUUAAAAGUUAUAGAUGUUUGAUUAAAAAAAUUCAAAUUUGAGGCAUCUAUAUCAAAAUGCCCCAAAACAUAAAUUAACCGUACUCAAGUCCCAACUGAAAAUUAGUACAUAUCAAAACACAUUUCUUAAAUAACACAAAAGUAACCUUGUUACUAUAACUGCUGAAAAUCGAAAGCGCCAAUUUUACCGUUGGCAAUUUGAUUCUGCAAGCAAUAACUUGACAACGCUGCGUUACACAUGACGAUAUACUAUGGGUAUGCAUCAUCUUCACUAAUUCUGUGAGGGGAAAGGCGAAAUUUUCAAACCUAUGGAAACCCGACAGCGGACAACCAUGAUACUCAAACAAAUAAUAAAAUCACGCACAUAAAAGUAUCAAAGAAUGCACACGAACGCUCCAAGCAGACCGGAGAAUGGAAAGAAGAUUCGGGGGGAAAAAGAUACCACAGGAAAAUAAGGAAGAAGAAGAAAAAGCAGUAUCACCAGCCUUGAAAAAUGGAGGUGGUAAUAGGAGGAGGAUCACCUGUAAGAAUGAACAAAAACACGUAUAGAAGGUUAAUGCAAUUUGCAAAUUAGGCUUCAAAGCCUCAUAGGGCAUUUGCUACUUUUCUCACCCUAGGUCGCAGGCAUUACCUUAUAGAACGAUGUCCUCCUCCAAGACUUCAGCCAACCCAUCUAUAAAACCUGGGAACAACACACCACCGUCUUUGAAUUGGAAAAGAAUCUCAGCAAAAAAGGCGGGUAGAAACUAUUGGUGAGGAAUCACAAUCCACAGGCCCAAUCGAACAGCUUCCUGGAGCAAAUGCAACGAGAAGGCAAGUCACUGGCUCACCCCGAAUCAGCUUUUCGGGACAAAUGCAGCUAGGGCAUUUGCAUAAGCAGGGGAGAGGUUACUCAAAAGGGGCUGCAUUUGUUGGCCAUAGAGUGAAAUCAGGUGAGCAAAAGCUCUUCCGAUUUGUGCUUUUACUUCAGGAGUUUCAACUGGUGAUGCCACAACUUGAGCAAAUACAUUAACCAGAUCUGGGACUAGAGA